rnacentral:lncRNA from 1 species
UCACCUCUGACACCAGAACAUAUGAGUAGUUAUCAGAGAAGAAGACCGGAUGGCUAGCUACACUCUUAAUCUGUUACUCACUAGUUCGAUUCUUUUACUUAUUGGUUGUAUUCCUUUUCUCAUUGGUUUGCUCCACUCUAGUAGUAGUGCAUUCUUGUUAACGGUAGGCUUUCAGCACCUUAUCAUAAGAACAAGUAGUAGAGGCACCAUCCCAAGUCUUAUUAACGGGUAGUUAAGCCAAUAUUUCUAGUUUCGCCUUCCUGUAGGAGUUUGCUUGCCCAUGGGUUAUUCUUUUUAUCGGUUGCUAGGAUACUGGUCUCCACUACAAGACCUAUAAGAACGGCUAUAUAGGCCCAAUAGUUUAAAUACAGAAUUCAGUGAAAGGUUAUAAGAAAGAAAAGUCUUAGUAUAAGUUGAAGAACGAAAGUGAGGGAUAUCAGCUUUGAAGCAAGGGGACAAAGGCGUAGUAAGUAAAGCAAGGUUCGGGGGCUGUAGUGACAGGCUAGGUUCCGAGCUAAGGAAUUAGAAGCUGCAUUGCAUUGGUGAAAGUCUGAGAAGCACUAUUUGCACUCAAAGUUUCUUAUUCAAUUGUGAAAAGGUGGGCUAGAUCUUACCCGAAGUUAUAUAGAAUGCUAUAAGGUAUAGUCAGAAUGAGGUAUAGGAUAGUCAGAAUGAGAUACUUCCAGGCGAGAGCGUAUAGUAGUACUCGGUUGCCAAAGCAAAGGUAUUAGGGGUUUUUUCAUGAUCUUAAGCUGUAGAAAGUAUAGUAAGUCAGUUUCAAGUGCAAAAUCUAUUAGUAACGUUAGAGUGCAUUUGCUACUUAUAUCCUUAUUGGUAAAGGAAGAGACAAGUACUACCUUAUCUGCUAACAAGUCUAUAUAGUAAGGAACAGGGAAUGGUACUACGGACUUCAAAGAAGAAACAAGAGAAAUAGAACCAAACUAUUUACAAUGAACCUGCCUUGCCUUUGACUUUAAUGCAGAGUUGAACUAACAACAAGGUGCUUCAAGCCUACCAAGAAAAAGAAUCCAAAUGAAAACUAUAGUAUAGGCCUCUGUCCCACUGGGGACCUACAUCGGACUACCUUAAACCUUAUAGAAAGUAUUUAUCUACAGCCUAUGAGGCUCCUGCUCCCUUCCUGAACUUUCAAUACCCUGCCUUUCCGUCUUUGUUUCACCAGUGAGCCCUUCCACUACUAGCUUUUAGCCUUACUUGUGUUUGCCUCAACCUGAUUAUCCUGGCUAUCGUCCUUACUACCGUGAGUUUCAGUAUGCCUUUACUUCCUUAUAGGCUUACUUGCCCUCUCAGCAAGCUACCUAGAACUUACAUUAUUAAUAACCUGUCGAUCAGCCCCCAAGACCUAAAACACAGGCAAGUAACAACUAGACAAGCAACGGGACAAGCAAGCGGUAGCGAGUUCAAAGCAAAAGUGAGUUCCUCGUUGCGCGGCAGGAACCCCGGUAUUAUCUGCAGUGAAGCGAGUCUUAUCUCUUAGUUUCAGUUUGAUUAGUAUUAGUUCAAUCCCUGUUCAAUGGAGAAGUGGACUAGGUUUGCGCCGGGCAGUACCAUACUACUAACGUUCAAUGCAAACUACUUAAUUGAAUAAAGAAAAGAGAGAAUGUCAAAUAAUAAUAAUAAGAAUGAUGUUUACUGAACACCAGAACAAGAGCUCUUUGAUAGAGAAAAUAAACUACCUUUUUGAGACCAUGUUUCGCUAAUCAAAUACUCUCCCAUCCUUUAUAGGAAAACGAACUACUUAAUGGAAUCUAAUAAGAAAGUAGAUAAGUCAGAAUACCGGCUAGGGUGCAAAGAACGAUAUAAAGGAAAUCCAAAAUACAGCAAUUAGUAGAAGGCUAACAAGUGAACAUAGGAAUUCUUAUCGUGUGAGGGGCGGGCCUAAAUCUAAACAUAGGCAUUAAGGACAUAAGCUUAUAGAGUAGAAAGUAAGCCCCAGAGGCUGUAAAGACAGAAUUAGAUAAAGAAGAGUUAGCUUAGGUGGGGCAGUGAGCAAGGGCCAAGCAACGGCGCGCCAAGGAACGGAUAGACAAGUGUAACUGUUGGAGGAGAGGUAGUCCUGUUUGUUACUUCAAUGAGUUAACCCCGACCCUACUUCUUUUGGAACUAGCCCGCUUGCAGCUUACUUGAGAACUUAUCCUUCUCUUGCUGAACCCUGUCCCUUAUCUUAAUCCAAUUAUGUUCCUACUUCUUCUGUUGAUGCAGUAUGUUCGGCUAUAGCUCCUUAUCCCUACUUAGUCUGCCCGGUCUUCUUCAACUUGUUGGGGUGCUACUAAGGCUGGUGCUAGGGAUGCUAAGCCUAAUACAGUGUACAAUCAGAAUCAACCUAGUUGUCGACUUGGCCCCUACUAAAGUCAAGAGCAUUCCCAUCUAAAUUCUAUAUUCUCUUUCAAAAGGAUAAAAGACGGAUUCCAGUCAAACACCCGAAGGUACAAUAAAAACAUCAGUGCCUUCUCCUUCCCUAGCAACAGCCCUGAACCCAGCUUCCGAACCAACCCUCGCUACCCUGACUUUCUACUUAAUAUCGCUACGUGGGUUUGUUCACUUGAAAAGACGAGGAAUACCUAGACCUAGCUGAAUCGAGAUGUCAAUAAGAGUUCUUAAAGUGUAGAGAACAGACAACUGCAGGAAACUACUUUUAACUACGAGCUACUGUAGCAAGCCAAGCAUUAAGGUCCAGGUAGUAAACCCAACAAGUAACACCGCAACUACUUCAGAAUAGAAUUGAAAAGAAGCAGUUUCCAAAUCUGACUUUGUUUCAAGAGCAAGAUAGGAGCAAUAAGUAGAUGAGAUGAGCCUGAGUUAACCUUUCUUUUUGAGUCCUAAUUUUUCCUCUUGCUACUAUUGUCUAGUAUACGCUUGGCCGGGUUUAGUUCAUAGUUCUCUUCUUUCUAAUAUAUAGUUAGUUAAUAGGGUUCUUUCAAUAAAGAGUCAAGGGUUCUUUCGUGGGUAAGGCUUCUAGAUACUUUUCUCAGACCCAUUGCGGAUACCUCCUAGUGGCUCUAUUUCAUUCAGAGCUAGCAAUUGGCUGCCGUAUAUAGUCCUGUCUGUACCGUAGCGCUUCGGAAGUGACUCUGGUGUCGUAGUGGAAAGUGUAUCCCUUGAAGAAAGAAAAGUUUUUAGUAAGAAAGAGAAGUCUUUUUAAUCAGCCCAUCCCGAUACGGCAAAAGAAUGUGGAUUCAGAUCCAGAAUGGAUUUAUAAGAGUCUCCCACUUACAACAGGUACAGGCAAUGGGAAGGACGUACCUUGAGUGGUGGCGCUUUCAUUCUGUCCUCUUGUGAUUUUUCUCUUUUGAUUCAAGGGGACACCACGUUUUUGAACAAUUUCGAGUAAGAGGCACCCUAAUAAUCUAGUAUAGGCAAUGGGCAGAAAGAAGUCGCCUUUCCUUAAACGUAGGAAGGGAAGAAAGAUAGCCUUUUCUUUUCCUUAAGCGUAGGAAGGGAAGAAAGAUAGCCUUUUCCUUAAGCGAUUCCAUCCAAGCUGCUUAUAAAGCCAGCGCCUAUUCUACCUACAGACAGGCCAAGCCAAUUCAUAUAAACCGAUUCUCUCUCUUCUCUUCUGUCUAUGGCACAGGCUCGAUAAGCUGCUGUAACAGAACUCGCCGAUCUUUGAUAGGAAGAUAUAAUAUUAUGGGAUAGAUCAACAGGGGAUUCUUUUCCACCAAUUCAUUUUAUCGGAAGAUAAGCUCAACUCCUAUGAGAAAGAAACACUGUCUCCGCUCCGAAGGUCUAAAAAGGGCAGCUGCUAGGACAAAAAGGUGAUAAGAUGGAUACAUAAGAUGAGUACAGGUUCUGAGGAAAAGGUUAGCUUCCAACCAUUCCUUGACUCACGUAUGCCUCGCCCGGAACUUGAAGGCUAUGCCAUCCCCUAUGGGCACCUAAGGAAAGAAUCAAAAAGAAACUAGUAUAUUUAGGUGCCUCUUGCAAUAAUAUAAUAGAUAGAGGUCGUGGGUGCAGUAAAUCAUUUAUGAAUGUGCAUCAUCUUACCAAAGCCUAGAUUCAAUAGCUCACUCCUUAUGCUACUGAUUCUCUUCCCAAAGACAGACCUGACAGACCAGAUGAAAUAGAAGACUCCUUCUCUUGCAUUGGAGUUUUGCUUAUGUGGAAUCUGAGAUCAAAAUAAGCAGGAAUCAUGGCAUUCCUUCCAUAGAGAUUUUCCUAGGCCUGAUUGCUAUUGUGGGGCUUUCCUUCCUGCGUAGUGGUCAAUAGUACCUGAGCAUCCGCAGACACUUUCAAGAGAGAGAGAGAAAGAGAGAGAGAAUAUAGGCACCGGAACCCUAUUAUGAAAGAAUCGACAAACUAUACUCUUAGGAAAUAACUUAGGGAAAGGCAAUGCGAAGUCAAUCAAUAACAUAAGGUGCAGUGCGGAAAUGCGAAGUCAAUCAAUAACAUAAGGUGCAGUGCGGAAAUGCGAUGUCAAUCAAUAACAUAGGGAAAGGUAAUGCGAAGUCAAUCAAUAACAUAAGAAAAGGAAAUGUAAAUAAGAAAUCCAACUACUAGAGCGCUUAAGUCACCACACAUUCAUAGCGGUUAUGUCACCACACAUUCAUUCCAUAAGCAUAGUCACAAAACUGCUGACUCUAUUCAACAAGAGCAUAGUAACCAAACAGCUUACAUCUGAAUGCUUACUUUUUCCUUUAAUCACUUGUAUUCGUAUCGGCAGCGUAACCCUAUAAUGACUCACAGGACAGAGUCACCGUGUCAUAAAAGUGUCUACUUGUUACUGCAGCUUGUUCCUAUUCUAUCCCGCAACUUGUUCCUAUUCUCUCCAGUAGUAUAGUUCGGUUACUCUCUUAACUACCGAAUAUCAUGAUUAUUGAAUACUAUGGGUUGGGUGCCACCAUAAUAUAGAGUGGAUUAAGGUACCGCUACAAGGAUUACAAUUCAAUCUAAUAGAAGAGAGGCGCCUAUGAUAUAAUGGAAUAGAAGUGUGGAAAUAGAUGGAUUUUUAGAUAAGUAAUAGAGAUCUAGAUUGAUUUGGAUAUAUAGUAAUAGAGAUCUAGAUUGAUUUGGAUAUAUGGAGAUGUUGUAACCUAACUGAUUACUUCACCCACCAAGCUUAGUAUAAUGGCCAAACAACGAAAAGAUGAGAAUCCUUUAUUUCCGCUUCUAAGCUAACUUUCUUCUUUAUCUAAGCUAACUUUCUUCUUUAUAAAAGGAAUUGAUCCGGAUCCUGACUCGGAAUUAGCAUACCCGACAACACAAUCAUAAGCAGUUAAGUAUAUCAGAAAAGAUUCUCAAUCUCAAUCCGAAAGAGGUGAUUGACCUUACCUUGUAGUUAAGGGUAGUGCUUUGCUUUACCUUUGCGUGCUUUACUUGACCUUAGUUGUAAGAGCUAGAGACUUAAGGAGACUUUCACUUUGACUUCGAGCUCACUCAGGUCUCUGGGAGUUCGAAUAGCCCACUACGCCGGUAACAACACAGCUGACUCCUGACUUUAGGAACUACGCUAGGCAUCCCCAACAACAACUUGCAACGCUACAAGCAGUGACUGUUGAGGUGAUACUAUCAAUGUAGGAGGGAAGCAAGGAUGCCAGGGGCAGAGCUCGUAGUUGAUUUCCUUGAGUUUAUUUCCUAUAGUAGUAGCGGGAUUCUGAUCAUAAGUAUAAGCUCUAUAAGCGCUAGUUCAAGUCACUAUCUGGAGGUGGAUUCUGAUUAGUACCGGUUGUUGUCUUAUCAGUAGUAGCAAAAGUCUUAGUUCCGAGCUUGGUUCUUUUUAGUAGGUAGAGGAAUCGAAGCCAUCAAUACAUAAUGAAGUAAGGUCAAGCUCAUAGGCAAUAAAUAAAGUCAGGGCAGCGUCAGCAGCGAUGGCUAAGGGAGUGGACUCUAAAGGCCAGGCUUUGGCUGCUGGUUUCUUUCUUUUGUUGAUGAACUCAAUUCUGAUCUAGGAAUGUCCUGCAGCUCAUUCUUUUGCUUACCUAACUGACUCCUUUACUUAUUUCUCUAUUCUGCUGACUACGAGGUUGCUUUUUCUUACCCUGACUUGAUGCAAUGGAUCGAUCAUACCCUAUAGGCUAUAUAGGCUAUUGACUCAAACUUGACAUAUCCACUCGAUUGACUCAACCUUAGAUUCAGAUUGCUCAUAUAGAAACUACACAUGGAAACUACAUAUCGACUCUCUACAUCUAAAAAGUGAGCUUCGAGGCUGACUAUCACAACAAAAUGAGAACGCUGUAUGUUGACUAGGCGGAAUGGUGUUUGCUAAGAAGAAUGAGGUUGACCUAAGAGAAUGCAAGGUGGGGCAACAAGGCUGGUCGGGCUAAUGAGUAAGGCGUGAACAGCUUUUAGUAAGGCUUCAUUCUGAUGCUUCGUGUCUACAUUCUGAUUCCUGCUAGUGGAUGCGCUGGCAAUGUAGUAUUAGGGCCUUUCUUUUGUUUCACUAGUUUGAUCCUUGCUGUUAGUCAUGUCAAUUCUGUAUUCUUGUAUUGAUUAUAUUGGUCCUGAUAGUUAGUAGGCUCUUAGCACCUAUCCCCUGUUUCCUCUUUGGUUAAAGGGUCCCAUUCUUCCAGUAGCGGAGUCAGUCUCAUCAGGUAGUAGUCGAUUUCUUGGUUCCGAGCUACUUUCUUAUUAAUGGAAUUCCCGUGUUCAAGUUGGUUUCUUAUCGUUAUUGAGUCAAGUCCUGUUGCCAUCGGCUCCAAUCUUUGUUGUAGCAAGCAAAAAGGAUGAGAAGCGCUAGAUAUAGGUUAAAAGAAUGCUAAUAGAGGAAUACGUAGCUAAAUAAAUGAUCAUAAUACUCAAUUCCACUCAGUAGUAUGGGCAAACACUAGAUAUGGGAUUUGGAUCAGUAGCUUCAGUUGAAAAGCAAGGUCAGCGUCAGCUGCUGGCAGCGAUGGCUGAGUUACAGAGGAGCUCAGAAGCUAUCAGUGAAUUAUCUUACAAGCGGGCACCGGUUCGUUCUCAUAUGCUAUGCCAACACUUUCUUCUUGAUUAUUGAAGACAUAAGCAGCAAUAACCGAUACAAAAACGGUGAUUCAUUUGGAGUCUUCUAAACAACAGCGAAGACAACUGUCGAAGAAAACAGGCGUAAAGAACUACCUUACAAUACAGGGUUCCCCUACCGCCCAAACACACUUCUUUAUUGAAGCAUUUCGAUCGUUAGCUCUUCAACCGAGGGAUACUAUAGAACUAAGUCUUUAUCUAACCCAUUAGCCUACCGCUACUGCCAGUUAGUCUGACUUUUCGUUUGGUUAACUCUGCUUUUCCUCUACUUGCUUUCAUUGUUGUGUCCCCUUCUCGGCCUUCCGCUUCUUGCUUCAAUUAUGGAAACUCAGGCCAGGAAUCCUCACUACCCCCAAAAUCGAUAAGUCUGACUUUGCUGCUUAUGAGUCUGCCUCUCCAUCCAGUAUGUACUUCUUUACUCGCGCCCCGGGUUCUCUGAUUGGUGUUAGCAUUCUGAGACCGUGCCCCGACCUACUAUAUUGAUGGAACGAAGCUACCCCAAUAGACUACACAUUCUGCACCAAUAGCAUCAUAGGGAGCACAACGAGCUUGACAAAGAAUGCUCACAAUAGGGAUGAGACUGAAUGCACCUAGGCCCCCUUACGCCGCAAACAGUUCUCAAGGGAAAAACCAAGAGCUGUUUUGUGCUCCAAAAAGGCUACCUCUCUAUACGAAAACUCAACCUAUUCCUAAUAGAAGAUAAUAGAGAAGCAAAACAUAUAUUCUACGCUUGGUCGUAAGUAGCGACUUGUAUGCUUGUUGCGUAUGACAUGUUCCUUUCGCUAGGACUACUGAUCCGGAUCUCUGCUUCAAAACACCUAUCUAUUGGGGUCAAAUCUGAUUCCUCUCCUAAAAAACACUGCCGCUACUUACCUUUGCUCUUCAACUAACUACUAUGAUACUUUAGCUGCUGAUCCCCAAGCUGCCUUUCUCCUCUUUCACUCUUACUGAGACAGGAAUAUCAGAAAGAGAGACAGGGAAGCGAGACUCAACAUAAGGAGAAGAGUAUACUCAAUCUAACAUACGAAUCAGUACAGUAACUACAGGCCCAAGCAAAGAGAUACAGACUAAUAUGGUGGUAGUAUUAGGCUAAGUUCGGGGGGGAAAUGCUAGGAUCUUCAGCUGUAGCGAGAGACUAAAGGCAAGACAGGGUUGGUGCCCCAAGGAAGCAGGGCGAGAAGCCAGGGUAUUGAUAAUUAGAUAAGGCAGUAGAAGUGUGAGAGCGAGCAGGGACAUACUGAACCUAUCAAUACAUAAUGAAGUGAAGCGGUGUCAGUUUGAAAGCGAGGGCAGCAAAGCAGCUGGCAAUAGCUUACAUAAUAGAAGUCAUAAGUCAGUAGCCUAAGAGUAGACAAGUAACUACCAGCAUGAAACCAAAGGGGUGUAUAGGCUUAAGGAGAGGUUAGUCGGAAUGGGAGAAAGUAGUAACUGGCCCAUAGUUGGUGUAGUCGAAGGAUCACAAGAGAAAUCCGGAUUUGAGUUCAGUAGCGGUCGACAACAUCGAACCCUGUUAGUAGUAGCUCUAUUCCGUUUUAGAGGUAGUAGUGACAUGCUAACAAUCAAACAUAGGCCAUAGUUCCAGUAUGCAAGUACUGGCAGUCAGCCUUGGGAUCAAUAGCUACAGAACCAGGCCUUCUUCUGAAGGUGCCCCAUAUAAGGAAAGACCAAAAGGAGAGACAAUGGAAUGGGGAAAAGUGCGAAUAAGCUGUUUUCAAAGAUGCUGUCAGUCACACGGCAAGAUGGUUUCGUUCUUCAGAGCAGAGACUGGACCGGGAAUCCCUUCUAUGAGAAUUAGUUCUUCACAAGUUGAUAAAGGGUCGUGAGAUUCAGUUAUCAUGAUCCUCUAGUUUGUAUAUAAUAUUCUAUUCCACUUUCUGGGAACUCUCUUUCUUAUCGAUAGGCUGGAAAAGUGAAUUGAUAAAAGCCAGCGAAAGAGACAUGAGACAAUGGGCGCGCUUACGAAUGCCAAAGCGAAACCAUAAAUAAAGAAAGGCGUCUGUAUACGAUUGACUCUGAGUCGCCUGACAAUAUGAGAAACAGAAGCUGAUGAUAUUCGGUGUUCUUAUGAAAUAAAGGCUUUCGAAUUCCGUUCCGGAAAAAGAAAGAAAGUGCUCUUGAGCUGUAGCACUCAGGAUCAGAGUUCGCCGAUUGGUCAUGACAACAAAAUGCCAAUUCUUUCUGCAGUUCCAAAUAAAGAGAAGGUGGAAAGCAUGAAUCCUGCCGGGCUACUCAAAAAAGAAAAGAGAAAGAAGCUGUGCCAGUUGCACUAAGUAAGAGAGCUAGGGAUUGUGGAUGAAGGUAAGUGUCUUCUUGGCAGACCGAAUUCGAGAGCCCGCUUGGUGAUGCUAAGACCAAAGAGAAUUCCUAGCUUUGCUUUCCUUCUAGGACUCCGGAACAGAGAAGGGAGACUUCAAAGGGGUAAGUAGGACGAAUUCUCAACGGGGAGCCAGUUGCUAAUUUAGGUCUCUGACACCCCUAUAGACUAGAAUAAUGGAUUUUAUUACAUUUGAAAUCCUGAAUGACGAUUCUCCAUUCUCUGGGAUGAGAGUAAGGAGUAUGUAUUCAAGGGAUGGAUAAUAAAUAGCCCCACUUGACCAAAGGAAGCGAUAGCGCCGCUCUCAAAUAAGCAAAAAAGAAGGAAGUGGAAUAGACAUAACAUUGAAUCAUGCCUGUUUUCCAGAGCGGAGACGUGCAGUCAAUCUCCAUCGAUUCCAAAUAGAAAUAAAUGAUGCUGACGAACUAUUCAAGUUGGCUUUAGUUCAUUCUAUUGUAUUGCUUCAGUGGGAACUGCGGAUUCCCCUCAUUGUUACGUUCUUUGACGAGACGCGUGACCAACUCGAUGAGGAACUAACUCCCGCUCAGACGCUAGGACUAGGGAUAGCAAAAUGCUAUAUUUCCUGAGUGGGACUCUAUCAGGCUCGACUCUUGUUCUAUUUCUCUUUCUUUGAGAGAGCGCAACGAGAACCAAGUCUGGCUACAUACAUGGGAACAGGUAAAGGCUAUUUUGUUGGAUUUCUAUUUGAUUCCUUUAAGUCUUUCAGUAUCUAUUCUGAGUUAAGUAUUUCUGUCUCUAUUCUUAUCCGGGAAUCCUAGCAAGAGUCAGUUUCUAGUAAACCAAGGUAAGUGAUUGGCAAGAGUCAGUUUCUAGUAAACCAAGGUAAGUGAUUGGGACAUUUUGUCCGCAAAGAAAAGAAGGAAAGGCGUAUAAUUACGACGGAGAAAUUCCUCGUAAUUACGGAAAUGGUGACUCCGAUAACGGACGAUUGGCCCGGUGCUUUCUAGAACUUUAGCACACUAAAUAUUCAUUCAUCAUUUAGCCAAAGAUGCACGCACAUCCUUCAGAGUCAUUGCUUAAGAAGGCGCUAAAAACACAGAAUGAAAUGAAGUCAAUCGAGAAUCAAAUAACAAGUAAAUACGGAGUGAAAACAAAGGAAAGUAGUAAGCUCGAGAUCAAGGAAGGACGCAAGGCUAAAGUGUGCCCAGAGAGACUUAAAGCGCUGUUUGUUGUCGAUAGGGCCGCUCCAUAAAAGGUGUUUUGUACUAGUUGUUCCCGAGUCCUGUGUCCGUGUUUUGUACUAGUUGUUCCCGAGUCCUGUGUAUGACUGUUACGCGGUUUCGAGAGUUGUGAUCAAACAAAUCUUUCUUGUAGGUAAAUAAAUAGUGAAAUAGCGGGUGAUCAAACAAAUCUUCCUAGUAGGGAAUCUUCCUAGUAGGGAAUGAUAGAAUGCGAGCAAAAGUCGAGUCACUCUGUUGGUUACGCGCCAUUGUUUGUUUGAAUGAAAGUGUUAGUUGCUGGGCUAACAUAAAGGCAUUGAAUGGGAAAUGCAAGAGCGGGUGGGCGAGCAAAGAAAGAGAGAAUUAGGAGUCAAAGCAAUUAGCUAUAGAAUUCAAGUAAGGGUAGCAAGCCUCGUUAGCACUACUUGGAUUCCUUAUAGUUAGUAGUCGGAUUCUUAUGUAGUGUUUUCGCAGUCCUGUUCGUCAGCUCGGGUUCGAUCCUUGUUAUCCCAAGUUAUACUCUUUGUAUUGGUAGUUAAAGCCUAGUUUCUAGUUUCCGUUUUGUUGACACUAGAUCAAGUCUCUUGUUAUUAGGAGUUGGUCUCCUAUAGUAGUGAGUUCAGUCUUAGAAACAGUAAAUACAUGCCUUGUAGGCGGGAAUUCGUACCUAAGCCUUUUCCCACUGAGUUUCUUCCUUCCCUUGCGGGUUAUCAUUCUGAAUUCGGAGUUUCACUCUUUUAUACCACCUUAGCGGAUUCCGAUCUAUGAGAGGCUGGGCCCAUGCUACACUCCUAUACUUAUGGAAAUUCCUUAUUGGAUUUUAUUGUACCUUCAGUAGGGGGCUUAGUCUUCUACUUGCUUCUUUCAGUCGAAGAAGAAUAGGAUAAGUCCAAACUCACAUAAGUAUGAGAAUGACCCACCCUACAUCGUACCAAUACUACGAUAACUUCUACUGACCCUAGAUCAGAGACUCCCUAUUAGGUAAGGACCCUGAGUCUUAUAGCUCAUCACCUGGGAAUGAAAGAAGUUAGUGGCAUAGCGAGACAAGCCAGUAUAGGGCUAAGAGGGGUCCGCAUCUGAUUUUACCCUAUUAAGUAGCAGAAUAAGAGACUGUGUUUUACCCUAUAUGUAUAAGAAUAAGAGACUGUGUAUAAGGGCCGAGAUAAGGGAAUGCCGGGCAGGAGCUCUAGUUUGAUUCUGAUCUUAGUACCAGGGGAAGCGGCAGGGAAUCGGUGGUCUAGUUAAAAGACUUCAACAACUACCCGCCAAGUCAGUCAACUAAGUCAACCAGCCUCCCCUACCCAUACGCUGCACCCCUAAUAGAUUGAUUCGAUAGUGGAUUCGGACUUAUACGAUGAAACGGAAACUCCUUUCUUAGUGUUUGUAUGCGCAGGUGCUGCCAAGUUGUUAAUUCUUAAAGGAAGGAGCACUAACUAGGUGGGUUGGCAAGAUAGAGUGGAAUUCCUAGUUGAUAGUUGGAUUCUUAUACUCGAUUUUUAGGUAAGUAAACUCUAUUCUUAAAUGAAGGAGCACUAGAUGAGUUGCCUUAAUCUAUUAUACCCCUUUUCUCAGGCAUCUUUUCUUAUAGAUGAAACAAAAACUGGGCAUUCUUUGGCUUUCUCUCCUGCUUACUUACCUGAUACGGCUGAUUCUCGAUACUAUCAAGUUUGAAUUGAGUCUCCAUCUUAUCUCGCAUUAACCCGCGUAGUCAAAACAAUAGAAAGGAAAACGGAAAUGGACAAAUAUGGAACUCACCCCAUUGAAAUAGGAAUUGAGCAGUGAAGGAAAAGAUCUUAGCACAGAAGUCAGAUCUAAAGCCAUUAAUAAAGUCAGCAGCAAGACCGGAAAGUUUAGAGUAAGGAGUUACCGCUUCCACUGUUGGGCAUUCCGUCUCUUCUUAUGAUUCUUCCCUUGCGUUUCCCUAGAUUCUAAGUUAACAGUCAGUUCCCUUGCGCUUCCCUAGAUUCUAAGUUAACAGUCAGUUCCCUUGCGUUAACGGAGUGUAGUGGCGUGGGCAGUAUAGAUGAUAUUCUUUCUUCUCUUUUAGUCAAGCACAAUAAAGUCAAUAGAUGCUUCAUACUCGCCCCACUUAGUCGUUUGAGAAGCAGUCUCGUAUCUCGUCCGUUUAAAGUCUCUACGAUAGUGUAACGUUGAAAGAACAAGAAGCUAUGGCGAAGGAAAAGUCCGGUCAGAGUGUGGACCCGUCUGGUCUCUUAUAGAGAGAGCUUACAGUAUAUCCCAAGGAAAACGAUCUUAAAGGACUUAAUGUUCAUGACCGACUAUAGUAAGGUUGUUGUCCCGGUCCUACUCGAUCUCAAGUAUCCCGAGUCUUGAGAGGGGUGGGUGCCCUAGGUAAGUCGGUUGAGGGAGGUGCUCUUCUUGCUCUUGUCUUUCUUGCCUUACAACAAUAAGCCUCCACCUCUAGGCCCGGCUUCUACUUGCAUGUUUAAAGCAUAUAGCUAGCCUUCUUUAUCUACGCAAUUUCUCUCAGUAGUUGUGUAUUGUCCGCUUGCCGAUCCAUGUAAAGACUCAACACUAGAAACUCUCGGGCGAUGACAUGCACUGGAUUGAUUGCCUGGCCCUAUAAUAUAUCGGUUAUCGGUUGGAGAUGCCUUAUGGGUUAUCGGUUGGAGAUGCCUUAUGGGUUGAAUCAAAGCAAAGGGGACUCGCUUCUCCUGAGUGAAAGCUAGACAGCAGAAGAACAAGUCAACCGGGCGUUAGCAACGCCAAGAACCUAUCUUGUAGACAACAAAGACAUCUUACUCGCGCCAAUCAUCGAACAUAGACUUGACUAGCACUAAACUAUCCUUUCAACACCACCGAUUGCUGCUGCCAAGAAGGCAAAGUGCGCCACAAGAACCUCUAUCGUACGAUUGACAAGCACCCGACCCUACAUCAAAAGUGGGAUGGAUUUCAGAUCUGGAGCUCCUACUUAUUCUCUUGAUCGCACACAUCUUGGUUAAGGCUAUACUGGGCGAGAUCCACUUGUUUUAUCUGAAUCCGCAUUAAGUAAGUAGGCGAGGGGAGCUCACUUUCUACUCUUCCUUGAAACAGUUUAUGCUGCUGAAGAUUCCUUUAGUCUUAACUCGCACACAAAGAAACUCUAUAGCUUGUUUCGACACCUCGCUGAAGAAGGACGGCUCUUAGACCACACUGCUUAUCAGUCCUUUCCCUUGACUCUCCACUGUCGGAAGAAUUCCUUGAAUCUUUAUGACCCUAGUGAAGUAAUAUUACCAGACUCAACUUGCUUCUUUCAACUAGGAAUGAAUGGAACUACUUCUGUUAGCACCGAGUAAACCUAUACAUAGCCUUUCUUUCGAGCUUAGCGCCCUCACUUCCAGAGAUCUUAUCUUAGUCCAGUCCAAGAACCUAACUAUCUCAUAGACAAGGAGCGUCAGCGAGAAAAGAAAACAAACAAAUGUAAUAAUCAGCAAACGAGGGAACUCGCACCAAAAGAGAAAAGUAUGAGGUAAAAGGAGCUACCUCUGGUCGGCUUCUUAGAAAACGGAAUUUCUAUAGGAGAAAAGUGGACUGGGAUGAAACUACAAUGAAAGUAUUAUUUCCUUCUCCCAAAGUGGACUGGGAUGAAACUACAAUGAAAGUAUUAUUUCCUUCUCCUUACCGCUUGCUACUGACGUGAGAGAGUUUUUGAGGUUGAAACUAGCUGUGAGGUUAGAGUCGAGUCGGUUGUCCUAGAGAGUGCUUUGACUAUCUUAUCUAUAUGGUUAUGAGUAAAGUAAGGGGUCAGAUGCUAUGGUUGGUUACCAAUAUCUAUCAUACAUAGCGAGUGGGGAACUCUAAUGAUUCUGUUUCUUAUACAUCUUAUGAUCCUGAACCAGUAGAUGAUCCAGCUCUUUCCCCUGCUGUAGACUAGACUCGAGAAGAAUCAUAUGAAUAAGCUGCAAUGAAAGUCUAGUUCGGGGAAGUCAAGUGAAGAGAAAAAAGAUAGUACGAGUAGCAGCUGGGUACUGACAUUUUGUAGACGUGGUUCGGUUAUUGGCGCUUGUGAGGUCAUCUGCAAUAUACGAGUCUCCUCUUUGAAUCGUUAAGAUAAUCUCAUCUCGAAUCGAAUGACCAACUACGUCCUUUCUUCGUCGGCGAGCGGAAGUUGGUUAGUUACCCUCUGAUUCUCUAUUUCUAUUAGACCCCUGAUGAUAGAUUGAGGUUACUACAUAGGGUCAGAUGAUAGAUUGAAGUUACUAGUAAUAAGAAUUCCACUCGAAAGCGCCAGCAAGCCAGAAUGAAACUAUACUUUAGAAUAGGGUUAGAGUUAGAUAUAGCACAUAUAGAUUCAUAAAGGAAUUGAUCCAGAAUGAAUAAAGGAAUUGAUCGAGAAGCAGAAAAAGCACAGAAAAAGAAGAAUUUCUCAGAGGUAUCAUUCUUAUGGAUAUGGGCAACCCCCGCUGUGUUCUUUCUCACCUACCCCCGUAGUGUUCUUUCUCACCUACCCACCUAAGUGCUCUUUGUUAGUGCCCCACCUCGACUUGUUGAACCGGUUUCCGCUUCUUACAGGAGAUGCUGCUGUAUCCAGGAGAAAGUACUGGUGCGCGGGCAGAGCAAGCAAGUUCCAUUACUAGUGUUGGCGCUGCAGAAUCCAAAGAAUGAUUAUGGUUCCCCUAUUGUUCCCAGCCUAGGUAUGAUAUCUAUUGGUAACUCCCUAAUGCUCUUUCUUGAAAGUGACUGAGGACUGCCGCAACGUAGUGGAAUUCUGUUUCUUCAUAUUCCGCUCCCGCUUCUAAAACUGGAACUUUACACUAGUAUUAGAAAGUAGAAAGUUGAAGCAUAAGCGGCACCCUCAACCGAGACUCUUUUCUUCCUUCCCGCUACAGGCAAACAAGAAUGGAAAUUGUGCCCCAACUCUGUCAACUCGGACAGGACUCCUUCUUUCCUAGCGCCAAAGCAUCCUCGUACGGAUAUAAGGAUUUUGUAUACUAAGAUUCUUUUCCGCCUUACCCUUAAGGAGUUUGGUUACGAAGUUCUAUACUAACCCAAUGAACGCUAAGCUAGAUGAAACUGCAUUUCCAUUCUCACUUUUGUGGUGACAGUUCUCUUCUUCCAUUCCAUUCUUUUGAACGGGCGCUAAGGUCAAGCCAAGAGCAGCCCCGCGUACCGCUUCAGAUCCUUCAACUAGUGAUUCUCUUGUCGAUGUCAACUUAACAAGCAAUACCUUCUCUUGCAAACAUGAAUAAGUCUGGAUCAGUAGGGCCCGGAAUAUCUCUUCUACCCAAAUCCAGAAUUGUUGAUAGCGUGUGUUCCUCAUAUAGAGCAUUUUGUAACCAGAGCACCCAUUCUUAUUUGAGGACUCCUAACUCACCGCUUUGCUUCCGGACUCCUCUCAGGACUUGAGACUUCGAUGGGCAUUCGCAAAUAGAUGAUCUUCACGAGAAAACUCGCAAUGAAAGUCAACUGUCUAUUACACCCAACCUUUGCUUAGUCUUGGGCGCUGGCUGGCAACUUUCAGAAGAGCUCUCAAAACAGGACUUGAACUUGCUUGCUAUGAAACAGAAACAAGGGGAUCGGAUUGCUUUUUGACUUUGGAAUGGCAACGCAACAAAUACUACAUUUCCAGAUAAAGCAGAAGAUCUCGUUGCCUAUGCUCGUGCUCGAACAUAACUAGACUACUACUACUCGGUCGGUGCUUGAUAAGGCCAUAAUCAAGGUGUUUGUUGUUUAAGGGCGGGCAAGAAGACAGACGGUUGCGGUCAACUUCUCCAAUAUGGAAUUAGCUAUAAGAGGAGUGGCACAGAGGUUUUAUGACUCCAAAUCCAGGGGUUUAUAGUCUUUCCAGAGUAGUGAUCGGGAACACUUGCUGCUAUGUGUUUGUCGUAGUUACUUGGCUUAACUCUUCUAUUCAACAAACAAGGGUAGCUAGAUUCAAUGAGAGAAGCAAGGCUCGGGCGGAAUCGGAUUCUUCUUCAGCCUACGGGCUGGCUCUAUACACAUACAAUAAGGGCUAUACACAUACAAUAUAAGAAAAAGCAAGUAUAACCUUUUCACUUCACCCUUCCUUCUUUCCUCAACGGAGACUCUGGCUUCAUAAGAGCGGCUGUAAUUGAGAUCCGGAGAUGGAAGAUUCAUAGAAGACGACUAAACCUCAGAGGAUGUUGGAACUGCUUAUGGCCUUCCGAACAGUUCAUCGGAGCCAGUGAAAACAGGAACUCCCGAGCUAGUGGUUCUUCCUAUCUUGAUCUUGGUCCCUACCUCGCGGAAAUGCUAAGAUGAAAGAUAAGAUGUGUGAUCUCCUACCAUACGAUAUCUUACUGAAUCUUGAAGCAAGCAUUAGUCCUGAAUUGAAUCCCCUAUUCGAAUGCGAAGUGUGUGUGUUGAGAUAUCUGUUAAGCCAAGGAGUGGAGUUUCGGAACCGCCUAACUCUUCUUCUAUAGCAGCGCAAUGCUUUUUCAAGUAGGCGUGCCAAUCCUUAGCAACAUGAUCUAACUCUGCUAUAAUGACAGGGGCGAGUUACGAGCUUAUGUACUCCAUUCGUACGUAAUUACGCCUUUCCUUUCUUUGUGUGGUUAUAGUUAUAGAGACAUUUCAUAGCAGGUGCCCCAAUGCAUAAGUUUUCCAUAUCUGGGAUGAAGACGUGGUGGCUUACUCGGCAGGAGCGGAGCAUCUUACACAGGCGUCUUUGGUUCUGUAUGUACCAGUCUACACGUCUCGAAAUGAGAAUUCCAUGGCUUGGAUUUAUACUCUUCGCUCCGUAUCCCAUAGAUGAUAAAGAGACUAUGAAUGCUAGUAUCGGUUGACAACAUGUAAAUAAUGAAAGUGUGCUAUCUCUCAGUUCCGAAGUAGUCCCGGACUGGGCAUUUUCCAAUCAAAUAGAAGUUAGCGGUUUCGAAGUCGAAGCUCUCCACCACGGUUGCGAACCUAAGCUCUGAGACCUAUCUGACGCAGAGAGAUCUGGUUGAAAGAACCAAACUUCGAGCGGUUUCAUAUAGGCUUCCAUCAACAAGGCUGAAAAACGACUUAGAAAGAAACUUCAUUUCCAAAACUAGAGAAUAUAAGAUGUCUGUUUUUCAAAGAUGCUGUAGUUUGCUCCAUUAGAUAGAUUCAUAGUGACAUAACAUAUAGCUUCCUUGUUCGUAGACAAAGCGGAUUCUCCAUUAGAUUGAAUUUGAUAGCAGAACUAGUAUGCAUGCCAUGCGCUUCAUAUCCGCGUAGAGCUCGCUCCAAGAAAGAUAGCCUUCCUUCCCUAGCCCACCAUAGUCAAUAAUCCCACAAGCUUCUUGUCCAUUCUCAUUCGAUCAGUGGAGCAAGUAAAAGAAUCACAGUUGGGAUAAUAAGGCUCGAACUUAUGACUUCCACCACGUCAAGGUUACACUAUACCGCUGAGUUCUAUCGCUUACCUUGCCCUCAUCGAGAAAUAGAAAGGAAAAACCCUAAUAGAGAAAUAGAACUUACUAAUCCAAUCCGGGUCGAGAAAGUGAAGGCAACUCGAACAACUUGGAGUCGGGCCGCGCUAUUACUGAUAUGCAAAUAAAUAGAGAAUGAGAUUCAAUUGGAAACUGCUCCUAUAGCCAUUAGGAUUUCAUACUGAUUCGAGCCAUAGCACAUGCUUUCAGAAAAGCCUAUGAUCUUCCCUAAAGAAAUCAAGAAAGAAAGCAAGACAAGAGAAAUCAAGAAAGAAAGCAAGCGGUUUUGACAUGAAGAAGAUUUGGCGCAGCAUCUUAUAUUCGAUAUGGGUAGGACAGGACUCUUAUUCCUUCAAAUAAUAGAGAAAUAAGAAGGAAGUCAAUAAAUAUGAUAGAGGCAGAUAAAAAGAUCUUACCAUUUCCGAAGCAACUGUAGUUUGAUCUCCUUUCCAUUUCUAUUCCAAAGUGAUUCUGUCUUUCCACGCCCACCCAGACUCCCUUUCUUUUUCUUAGGCAAACAUAGAAUCUUCGUAACCAAAAAAAGGAUAAGGGUCAGCAAGUAUACCAUUGAAACUAUUGAAGGUAAGUCCACCAUUGACUAGUGAAGGUAAGCCCACCAUUAAGACGAGCAGAGCCCCCAUUAAGACGACGACCAGAGCAGAGCCCCCAUGGAUGGAUAUGGAACAUGCAAACAAGUAAAUAAUCAGAGCUUGUUUUGUUCCCCGGAUCUGUUUACUAGUUUGUGUUACCUGUUCCUAAAACAUGGAUUUCAAGCAUCUUUCCAGUAGUGCGCCUAGCUAGCUAACAAAGCCUUUAAAGGCAGUAUAGUGUAGACGCAGACUUGACUUUAAGUGAGUUCUUGUUGUUGAGUUGAGUUUCUAGAAGGGCUGACAGUGUUGGUACUCAAUUCCAUAUUGGGAUAGCUCUCUUCACUUCAACGAGCAAGGGCGGAAACUCUCUUAGGUGCCCAUCUUCAACAAGCAAGGGCGAAAGAACAAGCUUAUUCUUAUAUUGUUCCGUUCCGCGUUAGCACUUACUCUCCCCCGCUUGAGUCAAGAAAUGAGCUAGCUGUGGAAUAGGUUUCAAUGAGAUCACCAUUUGAGGAAAUUCUGUCUGAUAAGAGCAAGGAAUGAAUGAAGACUGUCCGAGAAGUCAAACUGAUGUUCGCAGCCCCCACCAUUAAGAAAAAUGCCCUCCCUACUGAGUCUGGGCCCUGUCUCAGUCCCUCCGCCAAACUGUUGCAAAGCUUUCACUCUACCAGAGUUGCAAGAAUAGUGGAAAGAGAAGCAUACAACAAAAUAGGGAUAACGGGCGAAGAAUGGAUAUAUAUAAUAAGUAUAAGAUCAUAAUAAGUAUAAGAUCGAGUGUAUUCAUCAAACGGAAGAUAUAUAAGUGUAAGAUCGAGAGCAAGGGAACAAGCAAGGACGUAAAACCUUGUGCUGUGCUAACGGUAGUUCAUGCGGGCGGGUAAGGGUCAACAGGAAAUAUUCAUAUUAUUUAUUAGCAACAACAGGGCUCUCUUUCUUUCUUUCUAGGGUUUCAGAGAAAAGCAAUAGAGCUUAUAGGCAGAAAUAGAUUAGAAGAGCCAGCCGAUGGGUAGGGAUGGAUUUGCUAUUAUAGCACAUAGUUCAACAUAGGUUCAACAACUCUAAGAAGCUUUCUGAAGCCCCUUGUAGUGGUCGACCUCUGCUUAUAACCAAGUCCUUUCUUUGGUAUUCGCCCGUCUUCAUCAACUAAGGUGAGAGUGAGAGUUGUAGCAUUUCUAGGAUACGGAUCUUAAAUAGGUAGUACAGAAUCUUUAGCUGUGUCAGUAACAGUAGAAGAGGCAAAAUCCAAGUAAGGAUCCGGGGGGAUCUAAAGCAGAAUCCGUCUUGUUCCACGCCCCCUAUCCCUAUAAGAAUAUUAAGGUUACCAACCCCCCCCGCUCGCUAACGCCAUGACGAACACGGGAAGUGCUCUCUGAACCAACCCAGCCAGUAGGUGCUCAAUUCUUCCAUUUCAUAUUUCAGGAUUUCCCGCCUUACCACAUUUCAUAAUUGAGUUUCCUCUGCGCAAGUUCAGAAGCCAGGGAAGACAUAGAACUAAUGGAAUUGCAAACAUAACAUAUGAAUUCAGUGCGAAGAAAGUCUACUCGAUUUGAAGCAACAGCGGAUAUUAUUUAGGCCAGAGUGGGAAUAAUAUCUGAUGCCGAAGCCGAAGAUGGAAAGUAGAUAAGAUCGGUAGCUGGAGAAUAGGCGGGAUUAGAGGCAAGAUCUUUAGCUGGAGCCGAAUCGAAAUGUAAGUGGGAAGUUGACAAUCGGUUCCUAAAGUGGAGUUAUACUUGCAUCCCGAGUGGAAUAAGAAUAAGAGGCAAAAGCGGAAGCUGGUAAUUAAGAGGUAAAGUCUCAAGCAUAAGAUGGAGCAGGCCCAAACUCAGGCGGGAAGGGAAAUGAAUGAGUUGCACUCUAAAGAUGAAAUUCAGUAUUAGCUGACUCUAAGCUCGAAAGAUCCGAUCCGUAUUUGCAAGAGGGCGAGCUAGGUAUUCCAUUACUGUUUUCCUUGGUGCUCGAUAAUCAAUGAAUUCUUUUCCUGGGUGACUCGGUGCACUAUAAUCAAGAGAUGGUUUGCAUUCUUAGUUGACUUCAGCGUUAAGUCAUGCCAGGUAGUACUGGUAGUACUGGGCAACUGGGCUCCCAAAAACAGGACUUGGCAGACUUGCUCAUAAAGGAGACAAGCCACAACUUUGCAACUACUAUACAAGGUUGGUGAUAAGUAUCUUUCUGUUCGGACCUUUCAUCCUAGUCGACUCGAAUGGACUGUUCGCCUAAUUUAUGGAAUGCUCAUCUACGUUGGUAAAGUCUCAAAGAGGAGUAGCGCGGGUCAUCUGCUAACGGUUAUUAUAGUUUAGUUCGAGGAAGAAUCAUCCGGCUAAGGAUCUUUAUAUAUGCGAUAUAUGCGUCCCCUAUCCUCACUACACUAGAUUAUAUGAGCAACGGCCUGCCUAUCUGAAAUUGAUUCUUUGACUUUCUUUCCAGCGAGGUUAAGAAUGACAUAGAAUUUAUGGAGCACAUGGUAAAGAAUAGAAGAAAUACACCGAAAACAGGACUUGCACCUGGAACUCGAACUGCGGAUGAAGAUCUUGGCACUCAUUCUUAUCCUUAUUAAGAUCCAAUCCGAUUAUUCUUAUGACCUAAAUCCAUACCCGGGCUCCUUAUCUUGUUCUCUUGCACCACUUUCCCUUGACCUAGCUGCUUUCCUUUCCGACCCUCCUUUUUUCUGUGAGGACCCGCUUGCUGAUAAUAAUGGAACUGCAACACCUCCACUCCAACACACACCUCUAAGUUAUUCUUAUUACCCGUUUCUUCUAUACUAACCUUGCAUGAAAUAAGUGUGGCGCUACUUACUUUAUACUCUGGACUGGAAACAGAAUAUUCCGUUACUGCUACUUCGGAUUAAGAUCCUUAUUCUUCUCCUGAUCUAUAUUCAGAUCUUCACUUUAGAACUAUUCUUUCUUACACUUAGACACAAGCAAGACAAACUGCAUUAAUUGCCUUAACCGCUACAUGGGCAGUAUAGAAAAAACAUUCUUUCUAUGUUCAACAUUCAUCCCAUUCUGACUCGAGCACCUGGCAUAGAUUUUGGUAAAGACACAGAUCCUGCCUUCUGUUAACACGGAUUACUUGAGAACUGAGCUUGCUGGCAUGAAUUAAGGGCACCAAAGAAAGGACAAAUUCAUUAAGGGCAACCCGACCCUACAUCCACUGUUUUAUGUCUUUCCCGCUACGCUGACUUUCUGUAAUUCCAUAAAAUAAGUGAAGUAAGGUUACACAACUUCUAUAACGGAACAGGUGUGCACCUACCCAGUAUCAAGUGUUGUUUCAGUUUGAAGAGCAGUAUCGAAUAAGUCAGCUAGAACAGUAUCCAUUGCUGUGCUAAGGUCGUUUACCGCUAUAAACACGGAUUUUCUACUUGGUGUUGCUCUCUUUUUGACCCUUAAACAACAAGGAUAGAGAAAUCAUUCUUUUAGUUCAUAAGUCCACCACCCUACCUGGCGUACCACACCUGAAUGAAACAAGUCAGUUGGAAACCCGGUCUCCAAGAUAAGAUCAAUUAUAGGCUUAGAUGGGCAGGCAAGAGAAGCUAUAAAAGGUUAGUUUACCCUGAAACAAGUAGUGAGUGGUGCCAGUUCCGGUUUACUGUUUAGUAGAUUCAUAAAGGGCCAAGUAACUACUAUACAAAUGUUACGCAUCAGUGACACUACCAUAAGAAUCAAGUCAAUACCACCGGGCAUCCACAUCUGUAUUUGCCAUAUCCAGGCCUUUCUCUUUUUCACGGAACUCUGCCUCCCAGUUUAGGGUAUAAAGUAUUACCUGUUUACUUUGAUUCUUUAUUUGAAGCUUUGGCCCGGCACUGCUUCCUGGUAUUCUCUCUACCUCGGCUUCUAGCCUGUCCCCCUUUCCGUUAGUCCUACUAUCUCUCAUUGCGGGGUGCAGUUGUGCAUUCUACAAUUAUGAUAAGAGAAUAGAGAAGUUACAAACCGAACUCUAAUAACGUGGGGAAUAAUCCUUAAUUUACAUAACCCAAAGCAUGGAAUGAAAGCGCGUAGUGCUGGAGUUAAAGAGGUGAACUUCAGAAUCCAAGUAGGGGUCGGCAGCUUUGAUUGAGGUGGGUAAGGUCGCAUAGUAGUCAAUUUCUUAUUAGCCCCAGUGCCAGUAUCAUAUGCCCUAGAGUUCAAUCUUAUAGUUAGUAGACGAAGUGCUAGUUCCGAGUGCAAAUCUAUAUAUUCCCAGUUCCAUUCCAUUGGGGCGUAGGCUUGAAGCACCCGCUUGGCGGUUGGAGUCCUGUUGUUACUGAUUUCAUUCUUGCCAUGACUGCUUGCAUUCUUGUUAGCCCUUCCUUCAUUACCAGUCCCGAGUUCGGGUAUUGUUAGCACUAGUGGAUUUCUUUACUAUAAGAUUCAGUAUUCAAAUGCACUAUUUCAGGAUUAAAACAAAGGUAUUAAGAAUAGGAGCCAGCAAGGAAAGGCUUUUAAGCACUAUUACAAGUCCGGGAAGCACUGGCUGGAGAAUAAGAUAAAGCAAAGUAGGCUUAGACUACUACGUGGCAGGCCGAUAGAAGGUUCAAGUCAGAGUUUGGUUAAAGCCCCGAUCCCAGCAAGUAAGGAUCAGAGACAUGAAAGAUAGGCUAAGAUGGACGAGUUGAAGAGCCAGAGAAGGGUAGCUCUGUUUAUCAAACCGAGUAAAGGCUGCUUUUAGGUUAGUAGUGCUUGUUUGAAAGCAUGGAGUUUCAGAACCAAGGGCUGUAGCAAAAGUGCAAGUUCCGAGCUAAGGUCUUAUCGGAGAGUAGACUUUCAGCACCUUGUUAUGAGCUAAGGUCUUUGCUGUAGUAGCUGAGUUCGUUAAUGCAGUGUUCUAUUCUGUUUCUUGGAAUUGAAAUGAGCAGGCAUCCUGAAGAUACUAGUGAGUGGAAUGGGAAGGGCAAGUCAAAGAAAGAAAGGUAGGCUGGAUCAGAUAGUGCCACACAAAUAGAUAUUAUUAUAGGCAUAGUGAUAAGAAGAAAUAGUAGUAGUGAUAAGAAUCAAUGCCAGGAGAAAGCAAGAUCAAUAAACUCGGGAACCCAACUCAACAGCAAGAAUGAAUGAUACCAAUAGCGAACAGGAGCGAGCAGGCAGGACCUUUCCACUGGAACAUAGAACCUAGACUCGACACCGAAGUACAAUAAUGAUACUAGUGCUCCCAAGCGACUCUAAUCUAAUCUAAUACAAAAGAUCGAACUCAGUAGCACAAGAACCAAGCGAGUAAGCCCUAAAGAAUGAGAAGACGCAACUAAAGACUUCAAACAAGAAAGUAGGAAUGCAAGGACUUACCAUUAAAGAAGAAAUACGCUAGUGGAAGGAUAAGAGGGGGACUCUUACUUAUAUAGGGGUAAGGCUAAGAAUAAUAAGCCGAAGAAUGAACCUAAAAAGUAGUUGUGACCUAAACACAUAAGUGAGCCUUCUACCCCCAACUACAAAACUACCAUUCCUGGCUUUUUCGUCUUAAUAUCCUAUCCCUUGGUCUGCCUCUCCUUCAUCCAAUCCUUAACUCGAAACUCAGAAUGGGGCUAUCAACAAAGAAAUUCUAUCCUAUCUUGUAAACCUAGCACUAGUAGUAACGUCAGAAUCAAAGACAUAGGUCUGAACUCCACUUUCAAGUCCAGUAGGCGAGUAAUAUGUCGUGUAUUAACGUAUGAGAAUGGAACCAGUGUUAUCAAGGAUGCACCUACUGCGGACUGCGACUGCUGUCUACUAAUCUGCUCCGACUCACUUUUCUUCUUUAAGUACUGGAAUGGAACCUUGAAAUGCCCACGAGACUAUAGCUACGUUUUCACUCUCCGCGUUGCCCCUUCUUAUUCUUAGCCCCACCUGCAAACUCAAACUACCAAUAACAAAGAAGAAAUCUACGGAUAAUAGGAAUUGAGCUGUCCAACUAGGAAUAUAAGGAUUUGCACUCAAGGAUAACUACUAAGUAUAAGAUAUUAGUGGAAGACCAGGAUACCAAGAAGAGUUUACUAAUACAAAUAAUAAGGGUACUCAUGGAAAACAGUAGACUAAUGAGUAUACAAAUAAUAAUAGGGUCAGAAGUAUACUAAGGCGAGUCAUGUGGUAAGAAGAAUAAGAAGAGGUCGGUGCUCUAGCUACAAGUACGGGUUUGCUCGGAUGCCAAGAAAAAUGGGUAUAGUAUAUAACGGAUAAAGGGAUAUAGUAUAUCACUUUGGUAAUUAUCAAUCUCUUCUUUUCUUCCGCGAAAGGUGGAGGUCGGUUCUUCAAAUGGAGGAAAUCAAAGGGUAGAGUUAAGAUCGGGAGUAGAAUAAAGCCCCUAUUCCAUAUUGCUUGUCUAAAAUCCUUCUCCAGCUCCGGAUCUCGUCGACAACAAACACUGGCACUCUUCAAUGAUUACUUGCACGGGUUAGGAAUAAAGGGAAUCAAGAUCAUAAGCAAGCAGUAUCUUCACUCUUUUCUAUUAACAGGUGUGGUGAUGGAAAUACAUCAUGAAAUUCUUAACUUCAAGGUGGAGGCCGGGAAUAGGUCACAAUCUAUAAAAGUGGUCUAAAUUCAUGGCAGUUUCAUUCGGACUUCUUUUUGAAAUGAUUAGGGUUCCGCAUUAAAACAAGAGUAUUGACUGUUGCAAUAUCAAGGUAAGGGUGGGUUAGUUCCUUCUGUAGCGGUAAGGGUAAGUAGCAAAAGAAUUUCUAUUGAGUUGGUGUAGGAACAUAUAUUGAGUUAGACUAGGGAUAUACGGGAGUAGGAACCAUAUCAGUAGUGUUGCUAAGUAAAGGUUAGUUUACCCACCUGGCCCGGAGACAAAGUCAGCAAGCUUUAGAGUUCUGUUAGGUUCGACACUUCUCUCAGUUGCGCACUUUCUUUCUAAUUCCAUGAUGAAACCUACCUAUGCUCUUUGGAGAACCUACCCAUCUAUAAUGUUGACUCAUAUAAGAUAAUGUUUGAACAAACAACAAGGGAAAUAUUAUGUCAAUGAAAUGAAGCGGGAGCCUGCCUCAAGCAAGCAGGAGUUCAAACUCAUAAUGGUGCAAGAGCAAGCACAAGGGCGCCUGUAGAUACAACGAUAACACGGGGCCCACCUUCGCCUUAGUGCAUUAGUUUCGGUGAUUUUGAAGAAGGUUGGUUUUUACAAAUUCUCAUAUUUGGUGGUGUGUGCGCAUCUCAAUUCUCUUCUUUUGACUUUUCUCAGAAGUACAGUAGUAACUUGCCUAUUACAGUGUAGUAAAAGGUCUUGUCAGUUGCUUGCCUCUAAUCAGUAUUAGUUUAUUUCCGACUUUUGAGUUUCGUUCCGAUGUUGGUAUUGGUUAAAAAGCAUUGGUACCCAGACAGUAAUUCCUUAUUAGAAGAUAUUGGUUUGCUUACCGUACCGAGUUAUGAGUAGAAGGCUACUAGUUUCAAUACUGACUUUCAGCAAGGAGUGGUUUCUAGCUUAGUUUAUGCUUUAUUCUAAUUGGAGUUCUUAUCACUACUACUACAAGCUUACUACUUGCUGCUACUACUAUAGAGGGUCAGAGAUAUCAGUAUUAGAGCUACUCAUCAGUAUUGCUACUCCGGAAAGACAGAAGGAAAUGGAAGACCAGCGGUAGUUUUCGUUUGGAAACAAGGAAUAGAAGAGUGGGCAAGUAACUGCUAGAUUAGCAAGUAAGGGGAGACUUAGAUGCCCGGGUUCCAGUCUAUGGUAGCCACGUUCAGAAGAAUCCAAAUCAUCAGUUACAGGGAAUCGAAGAGGCAAAUAGGAGACUAUAAGCAAGGCGGUGCAGGCUCGGAAGUAUUAGUGUCAGGCUAGGCUCCCUUUCUUUUGGUGGAAGCUAAGAGAAAGUAAUGUCCUACUUCGAGUUGGGCCAGUAGCUCCUAGCAAUCAAACAUAGGAAAUUCAAGUUCCAAAUGGAGAAUGUAAAUAAGCAGUGCCAGGCCAAAAGUGAGGAGCGGAAAGUGCCAGUUUCCUGUUCAAGUACGAGAAGCAGUAGUGUGAGGUCAAGAGUGAGGGUAGUUAGCCUCGGGAUCAGUAGCUCAAUUCCUAUAGUAGUUAGUUCACUUCCUAAUUAGAGUCAAGCAAGGGCUUUCUAAGGGAAAGGUCAAGUCUAAAGGUAGGUAAAGAUUACAGGGCGUCCAAAGAAUUUCCACUUGUGAACAGUUCGUAUCGCAUUAACCGAUAAGUAGGACAGCCAAGAGAGUUGGUGUUCUGCUACCCUCAUUCUUUAGAGCGACAGUAAAGUAAACAAAUCAUUCAUUCGAGCUUACUUGAUAACUGAUCUUUCUUCUUAUCCUUCUAAUGCUUCCGUAUCUGUGUAAGAUGAAACUCGUACUGCUUCUUUAAACAAUGAAACUUGAGCAGAAGAAUAAGUUUGCAGCUCGCGCGCUAAGUGAAUCAGGGGAAUAAUCUCUUCGCGCGCUAAGUUAAUCAGUGUCAACAAGGUAUCUAGAAGCUGAAUGCGCGGGUAAGAUAAAUAGAGGUGUAGCUCUGUUAGCGAAACUUGACUUUAUUUACAAAACGGAAGACGAGAUAGUAGGGGAGCGCAUGAACAACAAGGCAAUCAAUAAGUCUGGACCAGUCAACUCGUAAACUUGACAAAAAGGCACACCCAUACCCUAAACUUACUGAGAGAAUGUAAAGACUCACUGUAGUACCCCUAAACUAUCCAGUCAUCAUUUCAAUUAAUCUCUGCUGCUGACUGACUUUAGACUUAUGCAUUCGAUUCAAUAGGAGAUUCGGCUUCCUUUCCUUACUAUUAAUCUACUGCCGGAUCUUAUUAUGCUCAAGUUUGUUCUCUCGCUGACAAUACUCGAACAGGACAUUCUCCACUGUAAACUAGAACAGUCCAUUCUGCUGCUGGCAAGUGCUACUUACGGAUAAGAAAGUGAGUUACAGAGUUAUAUUAGUAAUAAGAUAAAUAAGAGACAGGCUGGACUCUAUACUAGAAGAUACCGAUACCGACCGCGCUGAAGAAGGCAAUAAUCCAGGCGGCUGUAAACCCGUAUUUUGAGUCUACAGAUCGAUCUCUGUGAAACUCUGAUGAUGGCUAAUGUACUACAGGCGGAAGGGAAGUUUCGUUUGAAAGUAUGGUUUAGGGUGUUUCAGAAGAAUCCACAGUUACUGGCGAGGAAGCUAUAAGUAAAGAAGUGUGUUCGUCCACUUGUUUUCGUUCCUUCCCCCCUUCACUAAAAAGUAAGUAUCAUUACCCUACCUACAAAGGGAGAUUGCAUGUUGAUAACUGAGGAUGGCAAUCUGUUGAUGAAAUGGACUGCUGUAGUUCAUGCUUCUACCCAUAGAUGCUUUGGUACUCAAUCUCAUAAAAGUCAAAGCCAAGCCAUAUAUAAUAGAUAUGAAUACUAGAUUGAUAGAGAUGAAUACAGGAGUGAGAUAGUUAGAUAUUCAUACAAUUCUCAGGAGUAAGAUAGUUAGAUAUUCAUACAAUUCUAUAGUGAAUUGUAAAACGAGUACAGUCAUCCAUAAGCAUUGCAUUGUAGUGAAAACGUUUCUUAGAAGCAAGCGGGGCAGGGCAGGAAUUUUCCAUAAGGGUAUCAUCGUAUAUCAUCUUUCUUGAAAUAAGGGUAUCAUCGUAUAUCAUCUUUCUUAUCAUUAAGAGAAAAAGGCGACAACAGAGGCACGGCACUUCUUACAACUAGCACAAAGAGAGAGGGCUUGAUGAACCAUAGAAGGAUAUCCUCAUCCAUAUAAAGAGAUCUGUUUGUUUGUUAUAUAGAGAUCACAUUAACAUUUCUGUACUUUAUAAGUCUUUGAUUGAGGGUGACCAAGGGAAACUCCUUCAGGUGCCUUGCCGAACUUAAACUAGCGCUUGUUCACCUUUGUCUCGGGCAUAGAAAGCGUCCAUCCUACUCUACUCCCGGUUGCCGGAAUCCAUCCUUGUCCUCUGCUCUGAUCCUUUGAUCAAUAAAUUCUACGAUGAGUGCAAAGAAAGAUGGUCGAUUUUCAGUAAGUUGAAAAGAGAUGGGUAGGUGGUUAGUUAACAGUAAGGUGGUUUGUUAGUGUUUCUAAACGGUUGUUAUUGCAGGAACAAAGAAAACAUCCUGUAAUUCCACAUUUACUGAACUUGUAGUCAAAGAAGCAUCACCCAUAUAAUAAAUACGUAAACCAGUGUACCAUAUAAUAAAUACGUAAACCAGAGUACCAUCACAACCUCAAUUCUCUUUUUCUUAUAGUAUAGGGUAGCUGAUUCAUAAUUCUGUAGGGAGCGCGGAUUCAUAAUGCAGAAAUUACCUGCUUUACGGAUUCCGAAUUCAGAGAUUACCCGCUUUAGUGGUCAUAUGAGCAGACGCACCAGUAUCGGUAUACUAGUAUAGUAGGGAUCCUGCGAAUCAGAGAGAGAGACAUAGCAUAGCAUAGCCGUCAAUGCUUGAUGGAUAUCUUGGCUUAGGACUGAGAAAAGGGUGGUUCCAAGAAGGCAAGGCAGCACAGUAUGCCCAAAAAGACCACAGAUCUGACAUAGAGUGUCAGCGCAGAACCCUUGGUCCUGAGAUUAGGCAUAUUACGCAAUACUUUUGCUGUGGUGAAGGCUAUAAAGGCUUUCUUUUCUCCCUUUAUUUCAACUGCGCCCUUAUUGAUGCAGGUUUAUAUCUUUUAUGGAAUGAAGGCCUAGAUCUCUCUGUAAAACAUGCAACGGCGCGACGAUCUGAAUUAAGCAAUGAUAUAGAAUCUUCAGAAUAAUCUUAUCUCUUCAGGAUAAUCUUCUAGGGUGGGGAAUCUGAGAACUUGCGAUGGGAUGAGCGCUCGAGCCUUCUAUAACUCAAGGAGGCAUUAGGCUCGAUGUUACGUUAGUUUCAUAGGCCCAAAGAAUCUCUGGACUGGCUCCAAGAUAAGGGGAAAGAAUACAUUUGAUAGUUUCAUAGAAGGUGUAUCUUUCUUAGCUUAGGGGAAAGCACUUCAAUCCUGAUGUCGCUCGUUAUGUGAAUGGACCCAAUCCAUGAUGAGUUAUAAUUAAACCAGAUGGCCUAUCUUUUCCAGAUGGCCUAUAUCUUUUUCAUGCUUACUGGAAGUAGGAAUAACUGACAAGCUACGUCGCCAUAACACUAGAAGAGAGCAGAGCACUAUUGAAGAAAAGAAAGGGACAAAGGUCGACAGAAGGUAAACCCAAGACUCAAUCACUACCAAUCAGUUCCCGAACACAGGACUUGUAACUUAUAUUGCAACACAUUUGUAUUAUAGGGUACGAUCUAGCACAGUAUAAGACUAGUCAUACUUAGAGUGGAAAGCGAGGGCGCGUCGAUAGUACUUCACUUUCAAGGGCUAGGCACUACGGAAGGCCAUUAUCAAGGUGAAGGUGAUGGGGGCAGGCCUCUUUCUAGUCUUUUCAUCCAUAUGAAGUUGCUAACGCCUUUGGUGUGUUAUCGAGUUCCGCUUCUUUUGCCCUAGCAAUCAAUAUAGUAGAGGAGCAGUUGGGACAAUAAUCCCUUUUUGCUCACUUUCACCCCUGUUCCACUCCUAUGAUAGCUAAUUGGUAGGGCACAGACAAUCUGACUCUUACAAGCUUUGAAACAUAAGUAUUCGAAAGUGAAUGACAGGCUUUGAAACAUAAGUAUUCGAAAGUGGCCAAGCAACUAGACAAGUUACUACUAAUGACCAAGUAGAAAGUGUAGUUGAAAGUAUAGUGGAGGGUGCCAGUACUGUUCGUGUUGUUGGCAAAGGAUCUUAACCAGUGUGGUAUGCCAUGCCAGCAGAGUGAAAAGAGCCAGAGUUACAAGAGCCUCAUUCUGUUAAUAGUAGCCAUCAAGAGUUCAAUCAAUAGUUAUACAAGCCAUUACUCUUUCUAUUACUCUUUCUAUUACUAAAUGGGGAGUAGCGGUAGGGGAACUAUACAAAUACAAUUUCUAUUCUAUCUUAUGGUAGCGGUACCUAUUCUAUAUUUAUAUGAAUUCUAAAAGGAAGGAAGAUAUUAUGUCCCUGCCCCGGAACUGUCUCUUUGAACUCUCCUAUUGCUCUUAUACCUAUGAAAACUCUCACUAUUGCUCUCUUCUCUUCUUGCCCCAAAUCAUUCAUUUUCUCUAUUCUAUCUCUUUCGCCCCUUACUUCUAUUAAGGCUGCUUGUAUUCUUCUUCCCUUAAUCCGUGUAGUGGGCUUCUUUCUUCUUUAUACGAUGACACUCAUUCACUUUGCGUUGCGCUUGCUGCUUCCUUUAGACUCUUCUCUUCCUUGAAACCUAACUGCUUAGCUGACUCCUGACUAAACUAGCAAGGACGCACUCAAACCUGCCAGCAAACUCAAGCUUCCAAUCGGAGCAACCCCUGCCCUGCGCCUCUAUUCUGACUUUCAGUAUGCAGUGUUGUUCUCCUAUAUGUGAUUGAUGUGUCAUGCAACAUUCUUUCUUUAUUGAUUUCUUUCCACAGGCUCCGUUCUCCUAUAGGAGAUAGCAAUUUCAUCCGUUCUUCCUAUAAAAGAUAGCAAUUAGAUCUAUGUCUCGAAUCAAAGCCAAUAAGAUCUGAUUAUCCUCCGCUAUUCGCAUAAGAUUGAAGAUAAGUGGGAAUGUUUUGAACUGAGAACUUGGGUAUAAGGGGAGUUGAAAGAGCAGACAGGACUAGUUUAUUGCAAGCUAACCUUAGCAACGGGGCCAAGUAACUGCGUUAGUUCAAUAAGUAUCCUUCCCUACCGGAGUUACAGAGCAAGCGGGUAUCUCGGCUCGGGCUAAACUCCAUUCUUUAGUGAAAUACUGGCUAUCUAUCCGGAGUUGUGGAAUCCCUUGUUUCAUCCUAUUAAUAAGCUCAUCUCUCUCUGAAAGCUCAUCUCUCUCUGAUGGAAUCAAAGGCGAAAGAACAAGCAGUGUAUUGGUCUAUUGAAUAUAAAUAGUCGGGUAAUUAGAGAGAGUCAGAAUCCAUGAAGUAUAGGUUUACUGGCUCUACUGCUCUCCCACCUGGAAUAAUUCUUUCGAAGGGGGAUGGGAGUCAAUACUUAGCGCUUAAGGGAAUCAAAUCAGAAAGUACUGGUGAGGCGCGUUGGUGCCGAGAAACAGGCUUCAACCUGAGCUACUAAGGCUACAACCAGUGCAUCUAAGACUAUAACGGUGUCUACUAAGGCUGAAACCACAGCUACCUAGCCUUCAACGAGGCAGUAUGGGAAUUGAGCUAGUCAGUAUGAGAAUCAAGCACCUAACAACUAGCCUGAAACCAGUGCUUCUAGGGUAGUAGAUCAGAAUUCACUCCUGUAGUUACAGAAUCAAACUAGCUACUAUGAUGCUCUAGUACUAUUAGUAAGCCUACCCUCCCUUUUAACCAUUCUAAUACCUGCUCUUUGAAUUCCAAUGUUCGCCUCAAAGUAUGCCUUGUUUAGGUCAGUCUUCUAUCUGCCGUCGCUGUCCAAGCUGCGUAUCCCUUACCUUAUUGCCUUACUUUCAAACUCAUGUCAUUACUAACAGGACUUUCACUACUGUCUCUAGCCUUGCUUUACAAGACCUAAAUCCUAUAUGUUUACCUACGACGAGACUCAACAUUCUGUUUCUAAGCCUUUAUAUUAUUCUUUAGUGAACCUACUAGCCUGCCCCCUUGUCUACUAAUACUUUUCAUACCGAUCAGGAUCUCCGCCUUGCUUCAUAUGAGCCUUGGUUUCAUGCUUUAACUACCCACUUGAGUAUUAUUACUUGUUAGCUUGAGCCUACCUCGCAUCUUUACUUGUUUAUUUCAUUAAAUAAUUAGAUAUUCAGUUCACAUAUAUAAUAUGGAUUAUUAUUCUCUUCUAUUUGAUUAGCGUCUAAAAAGUACAAUUCAUUUUCUCUUUUUACGGGUGCUCCUAUACAAAGGGUAUGCCAUGCGAUAAAAACUAUUAGAUCAAACUCCGCAGUCAAAUAAGAAAAGUACAAAUAAGGAAUAUCCAACAGCCAGUAGCAAUAAGGAAUCCAGCAGCCAAAGCCAAUUAUUUGUAUCAACCGUAGAGUCUUCUUUCUUCUCUAGAGAGCCUUCCUCCCGCUACCAACCAAGCCUUCUUGCGUGUAUCGACUACUAAGUAUUCCAUGCCUGCCUGCCUAGCUUUUCGUAAAAUCGGAUUGAUAUAAGAAUCAGAAUGGAGCUAGUGCUUCUUUAACUCGCUACCGCGUCAAGCAGCCCAAUAGCUCCUGCCGCGCUUUAACUCACUGGUUGAAGCCUUACUAACACAAGUUUCAGUCUGACGAAAACAUAUAUUGUAAUAACGGGAACUCUAGCGGCAGCGCCAUACUCUAAGCUAGACUCCUGACUCGCAUUCUUAUUGUUAGUUAAAGAAUAAUCCAACUCGAACCAAGACUGCGCCUGCUGCUGAUGGGACUAAACCUCUGUAUGGCAAACAAGAAUCUCCCUACUGGUAAACAGGCUUACUGUCCUUACUUCCAUUCUAAAUACGCUGGAAUCUACUAAUGCUCCUUACUUAUGAAAUUCCAGUUUGUGAGUUAGGGCCUGCCACUAUGGAAUCUGAUCCUUACUUAAUAGGCUUUUAGACUCAAACACGUAACUUAGACUUUGACUACUGCUCCUACUCUAUAUACUUGUUCUUAUACCUUCUUCUUCUUAUUAUUCUGAUUCUUGGAAGCUUUCCUGGCACUACGGAUUAUCGAACUGCCGAUUCAGGGUACCCUUACUUUUCGUCAACACCUUGAGACUUUCCUGCCUUUCUUAGUAACCUCAUCAGCAAUAGAGAUGAGCAUUCAAAACUCCAUUCUUCAGGAGUGAUUUCUGAACUGCUUGCUUCAUUUCGAACUCUGUAAGCGCCGAGGACCAAGGUGCUGAAAGCCAAUCAGAUACUGUUAUUGAGAGCGCAGAAACAGAUGCAUACUAGAUCUAGAGGAUCGGAUUGCUGUCAAAGAUGCAUUUAUUACUGAUGUCCCAUAUCUACUAUAUCUAAUAGGAAUGUAAAAACCCUUUCCUAACUACGAAGACAGGAUGGACAGGAAUUGCACCACUUCUGUUAGCGCCCCGAGAGUAAGCUAAUGCACAAGGGCGAAACAAUAAGAGGAUUGGAAGUAUAUAAACCGGUAAGAUUCAAAAGAAAGAGAAGCUAGUCAGAUUCAAAAGAAAGCCAAGCCAGUAGGAUUUCCAAGAAAGGGAAGUAACGCCGGUAAGUUCGUUGAUGCUAAGCUCGUAGACAAGUAACUACUAAUGGACAAGCAGCGGCGUCGGAUUACUGCUGACCUACUUCUAAUAUUCUUUAACUAUACUUUGAGAAUGGACAAGCCAAUCACCUCUUUCGUAGACAAGGAAGGCAGGACAAUCUGUUGACAUGGAGUUCAGUGGAGUUAUGGGCUUUCCCUUGUAUUUCUUUUGCAUCCUUAAAACACUUGUAUUGCCUUUGCAUCCUUAACUUGUAUUGCUUCCUUUCGAACUACAAUCUACUAAAUGACACUAUAACUCCCAUCUACUUAAACACUAGCACCCAAAGACACUCAGAUUCAGUGCGCUGAAGAAAAGGUGUUCAGUGACUUUCUGACUUAUUUAUAGAAGUAUAAGGUGUGCAGUGAGAUUGAAUAAGAGUGACGGGCGACUUAUUAAUUCGAAAUGAAACAAGCAACAGCUUGAGCAAAGGGAGAAAGUCAAGUUGAGUAGCCUGUCAAAGGUAUAAACAAGAGAGUGUUGAGUAGCCUGUCAAAGGUAUAAACAAGAGAGUGGAGUAUGAAAGAAAAGGUAUAAACAAGAGAGUUGAGUAUGAAAGCAGUAAGGAGGGAGGUGACUUCUUUCUAGAUGUGUAACGCUCUCUUCAACAAGAGCAAGGGCGCCAGUGGAAACUACUAUAGAUGCAACUAAGUGUCGGCCUACUACUGCUCCCCUACUAUAUUGCUCGCGUAUCCAGUAAAGUAUCCGCGUGUUCCCCCUGGUAUAGGUAGUUCAAAGAUGCUUUUUCUCAUCGAACAGCGGAAAAUGCAAAUACCUUUCUUUACUCCCUGGGCACUUCCUUCGUCUGCUUUCUUCCGCCAGUACUCUUCUUGCUGCUAUUAUACUAUUCUCUUCUCUUUUCUUUUCGCCCGCCUAAACUCACCGACUUGGAUAUUCCUUUUACGUACGUGAAUUAGUCCCUUGCUUGGCUACUUUAUUACGCUAUGAUUCCCAAAGAGAAAGAAAUAGAGGUAAGCUGGUAGGCUAGGCAAAGUCAAAUGGUAUAGUAUAAAUAUGUCCUUAUCUCUCUAAACAGGGGGCAAAUAUCUUUGGUGGUUGAAUUAGCUCAAAAAGAAAGGAAAGGCCUUCUAAAUCAAAAAGCAAGAAGGUUUCAUACGAGGAGUUAGAAUACAAUAACCGGAGGUGUAGCUAAUGACAAUUCGUGUUGAGUCUAUUUUGGUAAUGCUUGAGAAAGAUUGUUCUUUACCUUACCCUUCCCACCGACCUGUUGUUUUCCUUCCCCGAAUAGAUAGACCUUUUUGUCUUAGUGCAGAUCGAAGAAGAUAUUGUUGGUUGAAGUCACCAAGCAACUACGUAAGUAGCGCGGUAGCGAGCGAAACUCCCUAGUCGAUUGGAAUCCCUAGACGAAAGAGCUAUAAAUAGAAAAAGGCUUACUUGUCUCAGAGGCCCAUACGCAGUCCAUAGGACAUAGAAAAGGGACAUUAGGAUCGAUAGGACAUAGAAAAGGGACAUUAGGAUCGCUGACUUCUAUCUAGACAUUAGGAUCGCUGCCUUCUAUCUAAUAGUAGAGGCCGCAUUUAGCUCAAAUUGGGACCCUUCUCAAGUCCAGAAGAGAAGAUCCAUUCUAUACCAGGAGCAUAGCUUUCUAUUUUUCUACCAUUGGCCCGGAAUACUACUUCUUUGUAUCAAUGGCCCCAGGAGUGCCCAUCCACAGUGUUUCAUAGGUGAAGAAAGAGGCUCUCGCUUCAUAGCUUCUUUCUAGAGCCAGAGCUACAUCUUAAACAACUGGCUUGGCUUCCAAAUAGGCUCGAGCACUAGGACAUAGGAUUUCCAGCUUGCUCAAAACAAAAUAACCCUGCUUGGAUCACCUCGAUUCUUGCUUUCCUGGAUCGUUAACCAAGGGGCAGUGGGGUCGGGUAUAAAUGGCAGCCUAUGAUAAGUCAAUUCUGCACUGCAAGAAAGUCAAAUCAAAAAGCAAAAGAAUCACCGGAAGUAGGAACUUGGUAUAGGUCUUACGCAUAAGUUCUAGUAUAGCACAAUAUAUAAUUAGGGGUCGCCCGAGCACCAAAGACUUUUGCAAAGAAAAGUAAACUAAACAUUCAGUUAUUAUUUAGGAAGAAAUAGAAAGUACAACUUCCCCGGAAAUCCCAAUGGAGGUCUAUCUCUACGAUUAGUAUAGUUUACGAGUUCCUAUCUCUCAUCCGUUAGAGAGAAGGAGAUUCAAAUCUAGGGCCAAGCAGACGCCAAGUCACUACUAGACAAACAACAACUAACGGCCAAGAUGAGAUAAAAAGAUCGAAUUGAGAUGAGAUUGAGAUAGCAAGAUUGGAUUUCGAGAAGAAGCCCUUUUCAAAUAGUGACAUCUAUCGCUUUAGCCCGCUAGAGUAGUUUGCUUUACAGACCAAGAUUGAGGAUAAGACUAUGAAGUUCGAUGAAACAAGUGUGUUUAAAAGCUAUCCGACAAGCUAUUGAUUGGUAAAGAUAUGAUUACAGUUUCUGAAUUUAUAAAGCAAAAGCCUAUUCCAAAAGGAUGGAACUAGAAUUAAUGAGUUAGGUCACGCUGGAGGCUAUCAUUAUUGAUGUAUUAGUGUACAACAGUGUACAGGAUUUCUCGGUAGUUCGGGUAUCUACUGCGAUCGAACAGCUUGAUUCUGCUGUACGAGUUCAAGCGGUUACUAUGUCAAGAAAGAAAGCAGCGGCUAGUUGUAAGGAAGAUGUAAGGUGCUCCGGAUGAACGAGAAAGGAAGGGCCGCCUCGUACUUUUGAGACUCCUCUCCUUUAGUCGCCCCUUCACUUCGACUUAGUUUCGGUGCUCGCCCUAACCUAUUAAAAGCUAGUGCUCAAGCCUAAACCUUACAACUAGUAUAGCACUCACUCCCUUUUGGGUGAAAUAAGAGUUCGCCGCUUUCUUCCUUUUUCUUUUGACCUUUCUUUUGAGUUGUCUUCGAUUCUAAGCUAAGCCCUAUGUUCCGAAUCGAUUUUGAUGAUUCACGUCUAAAUUAGUUCCCCAGAGUACAGACAAGGAUCAUGAUUACCUCUUGGCUCUUUGAUAAAGGUACAAGAGCCGCAGACGGAAGGCAAGGAAAUUUCACCUACAGAAGGAGGAAAGCACUUCGAAGUCAAACUCUUAGAUGGACAGAUGUCGACACUUGAGUCAAAGUCGGAAACCGACAGUACAAAAAGAACGAAUUAUUGUCAUGAUCGGAAACGAGAUACCACAAUGUGUCAGAAAGAAAGGGCCACGACAAUCAAUCUUUCUCUCAGACUACUCUUUCAAACAAAGUAAACUGCAACAACUAACAAAUCCCAAAGAUUGGAAAAGAAGAGACCCUCCCCCAAGGCUGUAACCUCUAAAGGGUCCGCCUAAUAAUCCAGCGAAACUCCCACUUCUAUAAAGAAAGUGGCCGCCUACGGGAAAGAUAGUAGUACGUACAAAAGGGAUGCGGCAUGACUGCUGUUUUAUUGACUUUCAUUUCUGCUGUUAGCAUGGUUUGAUGGCAUAGAAUCAAUAGUUUACACGCACAAAAACAAAUAGAAAGAAGUAAGGGAAUUUCAUAGGUGACUUCUUACUCGGAUUCAUGCCCAGACUCGGACGCAUAAUGAACUUAGGGGGUGCCUUAAUAUCUUAAUCUAAUAGAAAAGGGCUUCUUGCUGCCGUACUUGGAUUAUGCCUCCGGAAUCGCUAAGUCACACAUAUCUUCUCAAAUGGGAUGAAAGAACAAAGCAUUCAGUGGGCGUUAGGCUGUUGAUGGGGGCGCUGCUAGUGAAAGAAACGGACAAGGCCUCAAAGCUGUGAGCCCUCUAUCUUUUUCAGGAAGCAGAGAGAGCAAUCACACAUUUCUACCAGGCACGUAUCGAAGUAGAAGAGGAAGUUGGUCUUACCAAAACACAUUCGCCAUUGCUCUCGGCGGAAGCUUUAGCUGUUGUUGGGAUUGUGGAACUAUGUGAAGGGAGAAAUUAGUCAAAAGGUCCGAUCAAACAUCCCGUGCAAGCUAAUCGGCUUUUAUGAGCAGUCUGACUCACACUUUGGACAUUGAUUAAUGGGCUCGAGACAGCGAAAGCAUGAUAGCGGGAAUGCUGGUAGAGCAAUCGAAGCUAGGGUUUUCUUUUCGAAAAAGAAACGGAGUUAAAGGAAAGGGCGCUGUGAACACUCGGUUUGACUAAAGCGCGUCACGUCUUAGCUUCAAUUCACUCUUAUAUUCGUACGUUUUGAACAGUUCUUUUUCUUCUCAUUUAUAUUACAUUACGAGAUUUCUGCCUUAAGGGAAGAAGGUCAUACUAAUGCGACUAAGACGACUCCGUCCGCCUAUAACUAGAAAAGCUUGAAAUCUACUAUUUCCCAGUCCGUAAGCUGGUUCAAUUACACCUGAUAUGCCAACCGGACAACUUUGGGGGAAGCCUCAUUCUUGCGCACCCACUCUUAGAUGCGGUCCUCACCUGGAUCUUAUUACCUCCACUAGCAAUAGAACUUCACUUAUGCUCCUAACCAUACCCUCCCUAAGGAUCUGACUUAUUGAAGCGAGAUACAGGAACUGCCGAGCGGAGCAACUCGAGUUAGACGAGAGGCGGGGAUGUCAUUUCCAAGAGAGAAGAGGCUCGACCGGACCCAAGAACAAACCUAGACAAAGGAAAGAAGACAUGCCCCACUGUGAUACCUCGUGCAAGUUCUACGGAAUUACCUGAAAGAAGUCAUUAGCUUCUUGAUAUUGAGUGUGCCUUAGCUUACCUUGAGCAGGGCCUCUGCCUAUGUAUAACAACGUCCUUGUCGACGACACCCCCUUUUUGUCCAUUGGCGCGAGUCAACUAUACUUAAGUAGGGAAUUGCAUGCGAGACUUCCAGGGUUUUCUUUAUAUUUCAAGUGAAAGCUGGAUGAAAGGCAAAGGCUCAGAGGAUUUGAUGUCAAAAGAAUGCCCUACGAACGUGCUUUUCUUGAUCUACAGUGCCAGGGUUGCUUGGUAAGAUAGACCUACGAUCGAGGUUUCGUAGCCUCGUGCUCCAACUAGAAAAGCUAUCUGUCGGUCAGUCAAUCCAUUCAUUCAAUUAAGUCUUUGCGAGCGGGGCACGAGAUAAGACAUGAGAUAAUGUGUUAUGGUUAUUAAAGAUGAGGAAGACUUGGUUUAAAGCAAAUAUCGAUUCCAGGUUCACCUUGUUUUCGUGAGUUUUCCCAUCAUAAAGGAAUGGGGACAUUGCGAGAGACUCUCGAUUUGCUGCUAUACAUUUGGAGAAAGUGGAAUAAGAAAGGCCUUAUACCGUAACAACAAAGAGGCUGAUUUGAUAACGUUAGGAUAGGCGCACGGGGCUAGACCCAUCGCAGACCAAAAACGAAAGCCUUUACUAAGCCUAAGAAAAGCUUGUCAAAAGACCCCCGAAGAGCUGACCUGACCAAAGCUAGGGCAUUUAGGCUGUUGGUCGGUAGGUAAAGACCUGUUGGGGACUUUCCAAAAGCUCCUUUCGACCUCAGCUACACAACAAAGACCGAUACAAAAGAAGGGGACCUGACUGGGGGAAGAGGCUAGGAAUAUAGUCAAUGGAUGAAUUUCACCCUAUUGCUUACACCAGAGAGGCUAGUGAGAUCGAUAGAGAUAACGAGGCCAGGCGAAGAGACCCAUUCUGUCUUUCUUUAUUAAGAGAACGGGAAUACGGAAUGGACCCAUACGUAUUAAGAGAACGGGAAUACGGAAUGGACCCAUACCCAUACGCUCAUUUUGGACCGAAGCGAGAGAUUCCUCCUCUCUACUCUUCCGCUUAUUCGAUUAACUCGGCUAUUGCAGAAAGUGAACUUCCAUAAUACUGUAAAACACUUUUAGAGAAACUAGCAUCUUGCAUCUCAAUUCACUAGCACAGCCCUUCUUCCGCUUUGACCAAGCCUUGAGGAGACUACUGGCUAGGAGAGAAAUACUCUAAUGAAAGGAGGGGCGGAUGUGACUAUACAAAACUAGAUCCAUAAGAGGGCAGAGCCUCGGCUCACGUUUUCACUAAAAGAAUCAAGCGAGCCUUUUCCUCAUGGAUAGAUGCAUUUCCACCUAUUGCUUAUAAAGGACCAGACCCACCAAGAGAUCGGAUUAGAUGAAGGGGAGGAGAGAGUACUACUAUGUGAAAGAACGCUAAUCGCUUAAGGAAUAGAAUCUUAUAAAGAAACGGAAUCCACAGCAAUCGAUGAACUGAGCCCAAGCCCACCUGCAGCUAAUGAGAAAAGUCCUACCACUGACAGAAGUUUCAUAAGCAAGCAAAGAACCAAACCAAUCUCCUCUUGACCCGGCAAAGAAAGAAAGGAACGAACGGGAUUCACACCGGCAACUCCCAAAACCAGAUUAACUGGGGAGCCAGCAAGAAGGGCAGGAGCUUUUUCAACCGAGGCUGGGGGAGAUAUUUACACAGAUGUAUUUCAAUAAAUAGGAAUGAAGAAGCCCCUAAACAGAAUGACAGAGACGAAAGAAGUGGAAACUUUCACAUUAGAACAGCCCAACGGUAUAGACUACAUUGGAUUAAUUCAUUCUGAUAUCUUUGAAUCGGUCUCAAGUCUGAGGUCAUAGCAUCCUUGCUGGAAAUAGUUCCUCUCCUCAGGCCCUGGCCUAGUAGCUCGGGUCGGGCAUGCCCUUUUCUUCUUUCUCGUCCAUGAAGCCUGGGGUCCUUUAAACACUUCUCCCCCCACGUGCCCAAACCGAUCGCUAUCGUUUUCUUGCUUUCUUGUUGUCUUGAAUUUGGAUAGAACGGCUUUCCUUUUAUUGUGUAGUGUGUUAGAAAUUGACUUUGUUAAGUAAGUGCAGUUCGUGGUUUCUGGGUAUGCCCCACUCACGGUUAAGAAAGAAUCAGGUGAGUUUUUAGUUGAGCAAAGGGCUUUCUUCCUCUAAUAAAGAUAUAUUCUAAAUAGAGAAGAGAAAGAUAAUCCAACUACGGCUUAAACAACGCAUAAAGGCCAUAUUAGACUACUAGAGCUCCUUGUCGUUUCGGGGAGUACGCGUACAAAAGUUGUAUACGAGAAUCUCAUUGGGUGCAAGCGAGUGUUGUCGUUUCGUUCUUAACUUCUUCAGCGCUAAGUUAAUCAGUAGAAUCCCCUUCUUUUCCGUAGAAUCCCCUUCUUUGGGUGCGAGUUUUGAAGUAUAAGUAGGUUAUUGUUGAGUUGAGUCUCAUAUAGAAAGGGAAAGGGUCAUUAUUGAAUAAGAGGUGAAGCAGUGCCCAGAUGAAGCUGUUUAGUUUGAAUUGUGGAAUGAAAUAUAGCCUAGUGUUUCUUAGGUUUGUAUAGAUAGAUCUUGGUAACCUGACAUUCCAAAGCCCCCAAAGUAAGCUGAUAGAGCGGCCAAGUAACUACGUAAGUGACGAAGAAUCGAAUCUCAAAUCUCAUGUUGAGGUGAAAUAAAUAUCAUCAGCUGGGUACUUAGCAAGAGGGGGGCAAACUACGGCAAAGGUCUCUGUCUAUGUGUUGGGAGUUCGAGCAAAGGUCGUAGAGAUAGGGAUGCUGUGUAUUUACUCAAUUCUUUACGGGGCUCGGUAAGAGGUAUAUUCUCUAUUCUUAUAUUACAGCGCUAUAUGGAAUAUCUCUCGCUUUCGUUGCUUGUCCGUUAGUAUACGCUUGCACUUAUUAACAUUCCUUGCUCCGGUCCGGGCUGCUACCCCAAAAUAGGAAAGAAAAGCAAGGUGCUAAGAGCCUGUUUAUAGCUCAAAUGCACAUCCAGCAAUUAAGGAAGUGCAGAACCGCGCUCUAAGGAAUAUCAUAUAGUGCACAAGUUAUGUAAAUCAUUAACCUUACUUCUAUUACUAGAAAUCAUUAACCUGACUCUGUUACUCUAAGCUAAGUCUGCUCUACGGAAGGAAUAUGCCUGACUCUGUUUGUUACUCUAAGUCUGCUCUACGGAAGGAAUAUGCCUGACUCUGUUUGUUACUCUCUUCUCUAAGUCGGCUCUACUCUUACUCUACGGAAGGAAUAUGCUUAGGGCUUUCUGAAGACGGAUUCGAUUGAUUCAUUUCUUAGUCUAGCUAUCCACAGAAGAAUAACAAACUACUCUGGAACUCACAUAAGCACUUUAAGAACAAGAACUCACGUUAGCACUUUGGCGAAAGAAAAUCAUUGAGCGUUCACAGACAGAGUGCAUAGAAUUCAUGAAAUAUAGGCUUACUUAACUUACGGAAAUAGAAAUCUCAUAUAGGUGAAAACGGAUAAUAGAGUAACCUGACUGCCAAAAGCUUGUUUAUUAGCAUAGUAUAGAAGAAGUAAACAAACAUGGAUUACCUUUAAUCACGAAUGGAGUUUACCCUAGACAGCACGAAUUAAGGCAGCCUUACCCUAGACAGCACGAAUGGAGUUUACCCUAGACAGCUUAUUAAAGGAUAGAAGGACAGAGGCAUAGGCAACACAGCUUAGCUUAUUAAAGGACAGAGCAGAGGACCGUGUGUUAUAAGCUUAUUAAAGGAUAGAGCGGAGGAUCGUGUUAGAUUAGAUGAGUACUCGAUAGAGCAGAGAACAGUGUUAGAUAAGUACUCUCUGUGAACCCUUGCUUGUUCGGGUGUUGUCGACAAGAAAGAUCUUAUUGAUUGCUCUGACUCUAAAGAAGAGCAUCUCUCCUAGCAUAUGAUAACUGUAACCUGACAGCAAACUAACUUCUUGCUUAUUGUAUUGUAGUUCGGGGUGUUAACGUUCUUUAAAUGGAAUCUAGCAUAACCAAUAUCCGAGUAGUAAACAACCUCUCUAAAGCAAAACCAAUAAAGGAAUAGUAUACAAUCUAUCUAAACCUAGCUAAACCAAUAACCAAUAUGAUAGUAGUAAACAAUCUAUCUAAACUCUCUUAUUGUGUUGCGCGGUACACCACGAAACUAAGGAUGGGCACCUGGGGUAAAGUCAAAAAAUGGAGUAUAGUCCCCUAACUCACUAACGCCGAUGAACAAAGGACACUUGUCUUGAUGCAAAGACGGGUUCUUCAGAUGGAAUUGAUUCUUACCUUCCAAGCAAGCCUUUACUAGAUGAUGAUAAAGAUCUGUCUUCCGCCCAACAAGCAACUCAACAAGCAACGAACGAAUAAGAAACUAACUUACGUGAAAAAGGAGGGAUGCAAAGGGCUAAGGCUAACAUGUAGUAGAGUGAAGUUACUCAUCGCCAAUCACUGAUUGAAUUGCGGAUUUCAAAUCGAACAGAUGAUGGACACUAGCGGCCCUGACGCCUUUUCAUUUUGACUUGCUUGCCCAGAACCAGUUCCAAUUUCUUUAUUACUUGUUAUGCUUUUGUAGUAGUAGCUUGGCUGGAUGAAACGGAAACUACGGAUUCUCUAAACUCUAAGGAGAAGGAUACCUCGCUCGCGCACCCUUUCCAAAAUCAAGGUAUCGUUGCUACUCCGUUUCAUUGUCUCCCUUUCUUGGAUUUCCAUUUCUUUUGCCGACCUAAACUCUCACAUCGUCAAUCAGUAUUCGGUGAAUGUGUGGCGAGCUUUUCCACUUCCGAUAUAGUACCUAAAUGUUGGAUUUGCUAUUAGCUACUAAGAAUAUAGGUUAACCGACUCGAAUAAGCUUUCUUAAGCCCCUUGAUAGUGCUCGAUAAGACCUCUUGAUAAACCACAUACACUUCCGGGUUUGAAAUGACACUUCUUUUCUUGUCCCGCUAUAGCUUCUUUCUUGUACGGAAUAUGGAACUUCUUCUUACUCAACUUCUAAGGCACUCGCUGCGUAACCUUAUUGUAUGGGGUUAGGGUACCUAUCAAUAUGAUUCUCUUCAAGCAAGUUGUCCAUCUGAUUCUUUUCUGCACUUUCUAACGCGCUUAAUAGAUGUUGCUUCUUUGUUUGUUUACUUCUUCUAUAAUCCAUGUGCAUUCAAUUCCAUUCGGAAAGGCUUAUAUAGGCAAUAAGCAAGUACUUGGGCAAUAAGAAAGUACGCGGCAGGGCAAAAAAGCCGUAUAGUACCAGGGCAAAAAAGCCGUAUAGUACUAGGGCAUCUCCUCUUUCACUCGUAUUGUAUGAAAGUAAUAUGCUUUGCGCUAACGUUUGUUUCUACUUUACCUGGAUACCGCACAGCUUUGCUUAAUCGCUACGUUGGCAAAAGAAAAGAGUGGAUUUGAUGCUGAACCCUAUGCCUCCGCCUUACCAUGAACCUGAAUUGAAUGCUUGACUUGCUCCUUACGCUCGCUGUAGCUCAAACAAAGUAGUAAAGUAGAGUUGCACAGGACUCAAGUACUUAAUUAUUCCCUCGCCUUGCGCCCAGACUUGAUAGCCUUCUUUCAGCGCGCAGACUUGGAACAUGGGUUAUACGACAUCUUGCUUUCCCCUACAAGUAUUAUCAGAGCAUUGUCGGGAGGCAAGAUUCGGAAUUGAUUCCAACAAUGGAAGUUUACCCCCCCGACGAGCUCAGUUCUUUGCUUUCCUUUUUCCGACCUCAACACUGAUUGAAUUGCAGAUGAAACGAAAACAGAACAUUCUCCCCACUACUAUCUUCUUAACCGAACUCGACUCGUACCUUAUACUUAAGCUAGAGAAGGAAUGGAUGAAUUUCCGAACUCGUAUAAUUCACUCCUGGUCUUCUUCGAAAGAUUGCUUUUCGACAAUCCCACGUUGGCACCCACCUAUAAUCCCACGUUUCACCUAUUUCCUAACUAUAAACUAAAGGAAGUAUCUCCUUUAUAGUGUAGCUCAACGCUUAGAAGUUGAAGAAGUAAAGCACCUUCUCUUGAGGAACUACUUAUUCUAGCUAGCUCUAGAAGAGGAAUAACUCCUAGCUUUGGUUGAAACUAUAAGUUAGUGCGGGUAUUGUCGAGCUGGCCCAAAUUCCAACUGGAAAGAAAACGCCCCGUAGUUGAGAUCAGGCCUCUAAGAAACAAGAUUCGCUCCAUCUUGAGGAUCCGCCCUAUCCUUCUAUUAAACGAUGUUGUUAGAUGGUGAGCUCUUCUUUAUGGAGGUGCUCCUCUGGGCUUAGUUAGCUCUUGCUUCAGUCUUUUCUACCUCUUUCUUCUUGUAGCUAUUGCCCUAUUCCCUCUAAACAAGACCCGGCUUACUCGCUGGCGGAUCAAAGCGGUUUUUUCCUACUUUACCUCUUUUGUUGCUUUUGGGGGUUAGCUCUUCCUGACAAACCUUCUUGAGUGAGAUGCCACUAAAACAGGAGAGGAGAAAGUGAGCUCUUUUUUAGCUCCUCGCUGCUCUAGUCUGUGUAUAACUGCAAUUAAUGAAGCGCGCGGCACUCAGCGAUCUCAGGGCUUACUUGGAAGACUCUUCGGCAAAGGGCGUUGCUACUUGUGACUACUUAUAGUGAUGACCUACUUAACUCCCAGCUACCAAAUACAGCUCUAAUGGGUCGAAGCAAGGGCGGUGAGGCGAGUUGUCGAAGUUAUUGUAUGAGAGGAUGUGGUGAUUCUAUUUUCUUCCACUUUAGAGCUUGUGAUUGAGGAACUUUGCAUUUGAUUAACGAAGUGAUUGAGCAUUUAACUAGCACCUUAAUGAUUGCAUAUAGAAGACUACUUUUCAACCCUAGGGGAAUGGACUGGCGGAGUCGACGAAUACGGUGCUGGAGCUAAGAUAUUAGGCAAAUCCUUAUAUCAAAUCAAUAUGGGGGCGUAGCGAUCAUCAGUAUUUGUUCGUUUCUCUAAUAAAAGGAGGUUGGAACUUGGAACUAGAUGCCUUCCCCCCUUUGGUCGGUAAGUAAUUCUAACAAGGGAAGAUCAGACUCAUAAAAAGAUCAAACCAAAUAAAAGCUACACACACUGUAGAUUCUUGCGUUGCGCUAGGAAAAGUGGCUUGUGCCAAAAUGUAGGGUGAAGCUGCAAAAUCCAAUGCCUUCUUUGCUUCUUCGGGGAUGCUAAUGCUCGCUUCUUUUUCUUUCCUUGCGUGCCUCUUUCUUCGCGCUGCUCCUUCCAUAGCCUAUCGCAGCCAACACACCUUUGCGAAAUCCUUUACUUAACCCAUUUUUCGAAAAAAGAGAAACCUGCCUUACAAACCGAGCUCGGGCCCACCCCCUUGUGAAAAGAAUUAUGGCUCUCCCCCGGUCUGUCUCUAUGCUUAAUUCCGGAUUUCUCCCUUCUUCCCUCUGCUCUGUGAACGUACCGAACCUUCAUCCUUUAUUAUGCCGCAUUCGACUAGAGAACGAAUCUAGAUAGCAAUCAAACCUUAUGGCUUAGAUUACCUAGACGUUAGAUUCCUCAGUUGGCAUUCUAGUAGGCUUUUGGAUUUGCCUUUCGCCGGGUUGGAACAGGGCAGUCGCCUGCGUUGAUCCCUUGUUGGAAACGAUUCGGCUGUGUCAUUCGAGUAGUCUUUUCAAUGUGUGCUCUUCUCUUAACAAGGCCUUUUUCUAGCCAAAGAAUUCGAAUGGUGAUGAAAGUAUUGAGACAAGGAGGGAUGCAUGGUACCCACGUUACUAAGCCUUAUUCCCUAUGUUUUUCGGCCUAUUCUAUAGGAGAACUCUUCUUCUCACGCUUACAAUGACCCCGAGUAGGACGAGCUGGCAAUCUCCGAAAAGGGUUAUCAGGCUCAUGGCCAAGAGUCGCGUGGUGAUCAAACUCUGGACGCACCCACGCUUUCAACAAAACAAACUGGGCUAAUAUAUGUACCUGAUGAUUGCGAGGCCCUUUACUCCACCUAUUGGCAUAGGUUAGAAAUAAAUGUACUUGACCAAACUCACUAAUAAGAAUCAACGUUGGGACAGAAACUCACAUCUAUUCUAUAUUCCUAUCUCCUAAGCACGAGACGAGCCAUAACCUAAGGGGCGCAUUAAAACACUCGCUGGAACAUAACUAUGAGGCUUUGAGGGGUCUUCUAAAGUCAAGCGCUUUUCGCAGUAAAAGCACUUUGUUUGGGAAGUUAUACCCGAAAUGGCUAGUAUCCGGUAUUGUAAAGCAUUCCUCACGGCUGUAACUGGCAAGCUACUACGACACUUCUGAUUGUUGCUAUUGUUGCUAUUAUAGUGGAUGCACUAGACCACACCAAUGAAUUGAAGAAUUAGAGAAAGAAAAGGUAGACUUAGAGCAAAGAGGGGAAGGCCGAGAUAAGGUAUAGUAGGAAUAAGAGAUAGGGCUGUUAUAAUAAUCGAAAGUUAAGUAGUAUUGAUAGGGUGGAAUCAGAAUCAAAGGAGGGAGGGUCUCAGAAGCUAGGUUCCGAUGCAGUGGUCCAAGGCUGAAAGACAGGAAUAUCGGAUUCGAAGAAAGGUGCUUCAAGCCUAAACAAUCGAACUACAAAAUACAAAUAGGUAAUGUCCGCUUUAUGGAUAGGGAAGCAAAGAUCCAUAUCGAUAGCUAAAGAAUUCAAAGAGAAAGUAAUAGGAUAGAUCUGUAUUUAAAGAAUCAGAAGAAAAGUUAGGGUAGUUAGCCCUGUUAGCAGUAGUCAAUUCCCCGGUUCGAGUUGUUUUCUUAUUGGCAGUGUUCGGAUUCCCUUUUCUCUUGUUUCAGUAUUGUUUGCCCUAACUCGAUUCUUUUGUGUUAAUAGUGAAAGGCUGUUUGCCAGCUGCUCAAUUCUUAUUGAACUAGUAUCAAUCUUAUAUCACUGUAACGUUUAUAAAUACAGAAUCACUAUAAGGAGUCACAGGCUAAGAAAAAGGAAAGGCAGACUAAUAGACAGGAAUUACAGGCUAUUACAACAGAGGUAAAUACCUUUUUGAGAUCCGUAGCCUAAGAGCGACAGAAGCUAGUAGGUAGGGGACUACAGUCUAUAAGCUAGGAUACAAAGAGCAGCACCGGAGAAUGAGAGCUCAGGGAUAUAGAGACUUAAAGCAGGCAAGGGAAAGCUUGGAAGCACUAGUUCCUUUUUUCGAUAUAGUAGUAUAGUUCCAAUGGUAUAGUCGUUUUCUUCCAGGAAUCCAUCUUGCUUAGGGUCGGGUCAAACAGUUCUCUUUCGAGCACAGAGCAGAGGUCGACCACCUAAAGAAAGGGGCAUGCAAAGUCCAAAGGAGCUGCGGAUUCUUCUGCUUCAAGUAAAACACCCGAAGAAACUCCACUUUCUUCCUUAAACACGAGCAACCGUAUAAUAGAAACACGAGCAACCGUAUAAUAGAAGUUAGCAACUUUGAACUCACAAACUGACUAUAAGGGCCUCAACUCGACUAUCUUCUUACUCGACCUAAACUUGAAGAACCGAUUGCAGCUUACCGCUUUGAUACCGAUGUUUCAGAUCCAAUUACCUCUUUCUAAUACAAUACACCUUUCUUUCUCUAUUUCUCUUAUAGCAGCUGCGCCAACUGUUUGAUUUGAAACUGCUGAUUCUAUCUCUCCGACCUCAACUUGAACCCUUUACUUAUCCUUUUCAUGGCAAGUUCCCUUUGGUGGCUUCUUUGAAUGUGGAAAAGGAGAAGUCCAGCUCUCUUUCACUGCCUUACUUUGGACUUUAUCUAGCCAAAGAAAGACCCGCAUUUGCGCCAAAGCCAAAGACCUGCCGCCAAGCCCAGGAAGCUCAGUAUUCUUAAUCCAGGAAGCUCUUUAUUCAGGAUGCUCAUUCUUCUUAAUCGAAUAUUAUCUUACUUCCAAGGCAUAACAAAUCGAAUAUAUUACUUCUUCCAAGGCAUAACAAAUCAUCAUUAUUUGGGCAAAGAAAGGAUGCAAUAGCAUCGGUUAGAGCAAAGCCCCCGCAUAAUAAUUGUUUCGCCAAUGAGAGAUUUCACGUCACGGAAUUAAUCGAGGCGAGGAAGGGAAGUUAAGGACGGUUCCAAUAUAGACUGCUGUUUCCACUAAAGCAAUUGUAGCAGCUCUAGCACCCAUUUCUUUUGCAACCUUAUUCAUUUAUUACCUUCUAACAUCUCUGUCGAGUUUCUAAUUCUCGUCACUUUCAUUCACGAUUAUCUCUUGACUCGUUGAUUCUUGGGCGGACGGGCAUGAUUUUCGAUAUGUUUGUUGUAUAGUGGCAUUGGCUCACAGACACAGAAUGAAUUGACUGCUGCAUAUACUAUACUUUAUCACUAAUCAAAGGUAUUACUAAACUUGAUUCACUAACUCAAAGUCUUGGUUGGAGGGAAGGGGCGGGGCGUCGCUGAAGUGCAAUAGAGAUUCUUCAAACAAAUCGUAGUUAGGACCGUUUUCUUCAAUAUCUCGAGUUUAGCCAUGCAAAAGACUUCCUUCGUUGGAAACUAUUGCUAUUUCAUUUCAUCAAAAUAUGGGAGUUGAUGCUUUCUAUUCUAUAAAGUACGCUUCCUCACGAAUCUCUCUCUAAGGAGACAUAUUCCUUUUUGAUUCUAGUCAUGGUUCAGAAAGAAUAUGAAAUGCAAAAGUAUUUCUUGCAAGUCCCUUUAUUUUGACUCAAUGAUCCGAUCCACAUUUCCUGAAGCUCGUAGGAUUAAAGCCUAAUCCCGUAACUGUUCUAUGUUCAUUGAUUGCAGUGCGGAACUCUGUGAGAAAAGAGAUUAGUUCUUCGUUUUUGAUAAUUGUCUAAAUGAUUAUAAGAAAUAUUCCUUAGCGCGCGCCCCCCAAUAGUCUUAUCAUGGGUUCCAUGGGCCAUUUCUCUUAUAUCUUUCUUUCUAUCAUUUGAAUGCAUUUUACCUAUGACAUUAUCGCUCUGCUCUCCUUUAGGUUUCCUUUGCAUCUUGCACACCAUAUGCGCCUCUCUGGGAUUUCCUUCGUUCCAAAGCGAAGUCUUUCCCCUAUUCUUUCGUUUUGACCGAGCAAGGCUUUGCUUUUCACUUGAAAGGAAGGGCCACUUCGCGCUUGACUAAUAUAGAGGGCUUUCGGGUAUGACAAUUAAGAGCCUAUUUCGUGCUUUACUUGCAUUGGGGUCAUAGGUGGCCAUGUGAUUGAGAAAAUGCUCCUUGCUCCCUACUCUUUUCAAAAGAAGAAACGGAACUCCUACUUAUUGAAGAAACUGAACUCCUACUUGAUUGAAUAAUAUUGAGAGGGCUAUUGAUUGGCACCCUCUUGAAAAGGCACCGCACCGAUUCACUUUAGCUAUUGCCAUGCUCCAUGAUGCCUAUGUGUUACUAUAGCGAGUCACCUUGUAUGCAUUCCGAGCGAGUUACCUUGUAUGCUUUCUUAUCUCUUUCGCUUCCUUUUUGAUUGUAUUGAUUUGCCUUACUACGAAGGGGACAUCUACUUUCUAUUCUCAAAAUGGGUUGGCUUUUGACUUUCUCUCUUUAUUCUUUUUGCAUCGAGGAGCACGUGAUACUAGGAACUUGGUUUUGCAUUGCAUCGUGAUACUAGUCACUUUGCCCAUUGGAUUGCAGCAUCACAUCAGAUCUGAGAAGAAAGAUUUGGGUCUGGGAGCCACGAUCAGCAAUAAAGCCACGACAGAUCUCAACAGGACUCACUAGUUUAUCAGCACGACAGAUCUAAACAGGCCGUUAGUUGUAGCUUGGCGUGCCUUAACCGCUUGCUACUGGACUAUUGACCCUUGCUUGUACCGAGUAAACUCAUUCCAUUCCAUUCUGAAGUAUACGCUUGGCCUUAAUAACUAGUGAUUUGAGUUCCCGAACACCCCAGCACAGCACAGGACUUGCUCACUCCCUUCGAAAGUAUACCCUUUUUCCCUAUCGUCUACUUUUAUUGCACUGUUUCGAUUUGGCUUAAAGUCUACCCCCGAACUCUACUUUCAACAGGUGAUUUUCUUACUGAAACACUCCAAUCUAUACCUCUCGCUACUGAUUGACACCGCGCUUCAGUAUUAAGUAAGUUGGGCCAUAAUAAACAAAGUCAAGGCAAGCAGGAGGAAGGCCAUGCUACUGCUGACUUUAUACCGCUCCGUGGGCAUUAAAAGAGAUGAGGCUGACUUUGACUUGUACGAUGAAACGGAAACUGGUUACUCGCGCCCUUGCUUCAUAGAUUACCCUCCCUGCCUGGAACCCUGCUCUACUGGCUACCAUUCUCACUUCACUACCUUUGUUUUCACCCUAUAACUAGCGCAUCCAACAAUGAACCAAUCAACUCGUAAUUGAACUGCUACGGCUAAGACUUUCGCUAGCGCUAACAAGAAUGUAUCCUCUAACUCAAGCUACUGGAUCCGAUUAUUACUACCUUGUCCUUAAUUCUGACUUGAAUGCCUACGCUUGGCUGUUAGCCUCCCACUAAGGAUCUAACAUCUCUAUUGGCCCCUUCGACUCCUUACUCAUAUGACUCAUAUGCAAAUAUUGAUUCCUCGCUUUCACACCUGAUUGAGAGUUGACUUAUGGCUUCCCUUGCCGACCUAGACCCUACUUUAGAACCAGAACUUUACCACUACCCGAGCCCAGUAUAAGUAAGUCUACUACCCUCCCCUAGUGAAGGAAGGAAACUGGAGUAUCUAUUUGCUAUCAGGCAAGUCGACAACUAGGUUCAUUCUUAUACAACUGAGUUCUAUCCUAAGGCCUUGUAUGCUUGUCUGUUUGCUCUUCUCUUUAUCGCCAACGCUCUAUAGCACUCUUCACUUCCAUUCUUUAAUGCCUUUUGACUAAUUCUUUCUUUUUCAUGUCUACAUUUCGCUUUCAAAAGGAAGGAAUGCACUCAUAUUCCUAAUGCCCAGAGGAGGACAAGGCCCGCAGCCCUGCCUUUCAUGCGUUCUGCACGUGAAUAAGAAAAGGAGCCCUAUUUCAGUGCUGUUUCAGAUGGCUUAUUACGAGUCAAGGGACACUUUUCGCUGUUAUGAGCAUCCUUUCCAAUCCUGAAAGCUGCCACAAGGAUACAAUUCCAUGUCUUGCGAUGAUUAGGGAUUAUAGAGGUCAUUAUUACGGAUCUCUUCUCUAUGUUCUAUGUUCUAGAGUUUACGACCAUAAGAAGAAAGACGAUUCUAUUUUGUAUUAGGCAUCGAAGCCUAUGGAGCAGAGCUGUAGUUUUGAAAGGAAUAGGGAGUUGAGCUCGACUGAAAGUAGUCUACAUGGUUAGCUUUUGAGUUCUGAUAUAACGAAUGAAAGCCGAUAAGGCCCUGCAAAGGAGAAUACUAGAGUCGAUGUAAUUGAGCUCGAACGUUAGUGAACGAGGUAUAUAAGCGAGUCAACCAAAUAGAAAUCCUGAGUGGAGGCUCUGGCAAGACCUCGAUUCGGUUAGCGAAUACCUAUGGGCGAGAAAGGAGGGGCUCUCAACAACUUGGAUAACGAACUAAGAGCACAUCUAGUGUUAGCGAGUACCUAACAGGAAAGGCAUCCCACUUUCUUUUUAUGCAAUGUAUGCUUUUCAAACUCUGACUGUUCCCUUUUGUCUCUAUUCCUUACCCUUUCUAUGCUAUAAGUAAUAACUCAAACAGUAAAUGCAAUAUAAUGCCGUAUUUGAAAGAAUGAAGUCAAGUCCGGGGGUAGGAGAAAGUGCUAUCUUAUUCUUAUGAAUAAUUAGCUGAGACAAAAGCAUUAGCAUAGGCAGAAUCAGCAGCAUCAGCAAGCAAAUGCCUUUCUUCUCUUAGAAUGAUCAUGAAUGAAAUCCUACUCGCCUUAUUCUUACUAUGUGCUUUAUGGAAAAUGAUGGAUGAAAACCCAUAUUCUAUAUGAGAAACAUAUGCAACGGGAAGAAAGACCCAUUACAAGUUCUCGGUUAGACAUGAAGGAGGGUUGCUUUCUCAGUUGGAAGUGGAUUUCUCAGCCUUAUUCAAGUGGCCCAGGGAUAGCGAAUGAAUCUUGAUGACGAGCAAGUAACGUAGUUAGAUUGAAGAUGAAUGUUCGAAAGCUCGACCAAAAGAAAGAGAAAGAAAAGAAUCCAGUCGUCCAAUAGAACUCAUUUGGAAUCAAAGACGGGGCAGAGAUUGCUUGCCCGAAGAUGUAGUCAUUUCAUUACAAGAAAAGCUUAACUUAGACCUAAGACGAGCCCUAAUAAACGAUCUGGGAGAGGGCAGUAAUCAAAAGUUCCACCGAAGGAAGUGCUGCAUAAAGGGCGGGUCCAACUUACACAGGAGAGGAUUACCCUAGCACUGAAACGGAAACGGGCAAGGCUAAAAGAAAGGCGUAAAGGUAGCUCACGAAAGACAACAGCGCCUCCACGCCUAUUCGAUAGUGAUUCCGAUAACAUCCUAUAAGAGCUGAUUCAAUCGGGUUAUUAGGAAGAAAGGAAAGUUCUUGCCAUCUCCACAGAUAACUAAGAAAGUGGCUUUUCAAUCGAAAGAUCCCCUGAUAUUACCGAAGAAAAUAGAAUGAAUUGAGCAACUCGUGAGUAAAGUAGUGGAUUUGCCCUCGUAAUGCCGACAAAUGGGAGAACUUUAAAGACAAUAAGCAGUGGGCCAAGCUACUAUCCCGGGGUUAAUCACUCGUCGAGUUCCCGGGUUAGAUUCUAAUCAGUAUUGGUGAAAGAGGAUCUGCCUGCGGAGUUCUCGAAUCAAAGUCUGGAUGCCAGGGAUAAGUAAGGAGCCUUAAGAGUCAAGAGAUCAAGUCAGAAUAAAAGACAGGCGAGGUCGCCUUAGAUACAUUGAUUGAGGCAAGGUUCGGUGUCGUCGGUAGAGGAAGUCCUAUCUCUUUGGUUGACUCUUUCUAGUAGUGAUCCAGUAGUGAUUUCCGCCUGAGGCCCCUUUCUCGAAUGCCUAGUUUGAGUAUACGCUCCAAUGCCUAGUUGCUAGUCCACCUAUUCCAGGAGGAAUUAUUUGACCUAAGAGUGGAGUUCCCUAUCUCGGGGUAAGGUAUUUGUUAGCCAGGGUCCUAUUCUCGUAUGCCCAAGUUCACUUAUAUUUAUUACUAACUCCAUUAUUUAGUGCAAUGUUUCCGGUCUUAUACCAGCUCCAUGUUCUACUACUCUAUCCUGAUCUAUUUCCACUACUCUAUCCUUUAUGUACUAGUUCCAUUCUUGUUAGCAGCGGUUCCAAUCUGAAUGCCAUAGUUGGAUCCCUACUUAUAAGGCUUCUAGUGUUGGAUUUCCCAUUCUCUGUUUCGGGCUGAUGGGCCGUAAAGCAAUAUUUCUUUGUAGUCAAGUAAGAAGGGAGGACAGGCUCCUAGGCCAUUUAAGCAAGACUGAUCUGUGUUUGUCUACGGGUCGGGAUUUGAGGUUAGUGGUUCAAGAAUAAGAGCCUGUAGAGGCAGACCCCAACCUAUAACCAUAAUUUCCAUAAGUAGUGAGAGUUUUCAAUCAAGUAAGGGAGGGGGGAGGGCUAACGGGUGUAUAUCAGAAUGAAAGUGAGAGUCGGUUCGGUCUUUUUAGCAGUAGCAAUAUCUUAUAUAUGUGUAUUGGAUUAGCAGUAGCAAUAUCUUAUAUAUGUGUAUUGGAUCCGAUGCAUUGGUUAUAGCCUGUUUGUUUGUGUCACUAGCUCAUUCUUAGACACUGAAGCGCUAUUCCAUUAGUUGUUUGGUUCGUUACCCAGGUUUUAUUGAAUCCUAUUGAAAGAAAGAAAGUUUACGAGUGUGUCGCCUAGGGGAAAGGAAGUCCAUAAGAUCAAGCAUAGAUAAAGGGAAUGAAUCCAAUAAUAGGGGGCGCAAGUAUAGAGCAAGAAUCAAUAAAGUAACUACAACAAGUAUAGAGCAAGAAUCAAUAAAGUCACUACUAUAAUAUGGGGAAGUCCAGAAUAGAAAGUAUAGAUCGGGUACCUUAUUGUUAUUCUAUGCACUACAUAUAAGGAUUACUUGAAACUCGGUGGGCUCCACUUUACCUACUUGAACACUUUCUAAAUGCAAGCAGGGUUCGGUUCGGGUCACAAAUCUAGUAGUUAUGUAGGUGCCUAUAUGUUUUGUAGUCGUUUUUUAAUGUCCCGUUCGGUUCAGUUGGUUGGUCUAGUGUUUCCUUCCUAUAAGUGUAGGCUGUGGUCAGUACUUCAUGUAGUUUCUAACGGUGCCUAUCAAUAAUAAAGUAGAUCAAAUUCCCCGAUAUCCAAUUCUCAUAUCCAUAUUGCAUGACCUAUAGAUAACAUUCCCCUAUAUCCAAUUCUCAUAUCUAUAUUGCAUGAAAUCAUUCCCAAUAGUCCCCAUGAAUCUAAAUGAGGAGAAUCCCCCUUUCCUUUACCUUAAAGCUGUCACUACUAUUAUUCCUAUGCCUCUUGUCGUGUCGGUAACUUCUUAAUGAGCGGGGCUCUAAACUUCACCUCUAGUUGGCUGGGUCAGACAUUAUAACAUUCAUGAAAUACUUAACAAUCCAUAUAGGGACCGAACUUCUACGACAUUCUAGACUUAUCCGCCCAAUAGACACAUCCAUCUAAUGGAACAAAAGUGACCUGAACCUUGUACAAUAGCAAUAUACACCGAAAUCUCAUAUGAAAUCAAUCAAUGGACAGUUUUCUAAGCGACUCUAACCCCCAAACCAAAGGAAAGCGUCUUUUAUCAAUCUAUUUAUACCUUCCUAUAAUAAUGUGUGAAAAAGACCUUCGCGCGUUCUGCCUUUCUUUCUCGGUCGUCUGUCAAAUAGUUGUGGAUUCCGACCUUCUUUUCUCAAUUACUCUCUAUUUCAUUCCACUUCUUUAAGCGAGUACAUGAAAAGUAUACAUAGCGCGAUACUAGAAUGCUCGAAUGAUAGCAAGGUGCUGAAAGCCUUAAUGAGAGCAGGAAGCGAGUGUAGUAGCAAGCCAGUGGUGAGCGAUCGAAAGCGCCAAAGGUCAGUCUCAUAGGGGCGUGUAUAGCACUUUUCGAUAGGAAGAGAGCGAAGGGCAUAAGAUUUAUUCAAAUGGUUUCGCAAAGGGGUCCAGACUUAGACGAAGGUGCAGUUUCAAAAGCUGGUUUUCUGAUUAUAGGCUUUUAAUUAGAGGGGGAGCGCUUGACUCUCUUUUACACGAGGCGAACCUUUUGGUCUAUCAGCUACUUUACCUCAAAAGCUUGAAGACAUGGUUUCUACUAUAAACAAACCAAACCUUUCUUUUGAUAGCGCUUUUCUGUUAUAGGUAGAGGGAAAGUUCUAGCUUUCUGAAUAAGGCCGGCUUUCCCUAUCCAUUGAAUUGGCCGCUUCGAGAUUGGGCUUAGUCUUAGCUUCACCUAUUCGCUAUUAGAUAGAUAUAGUGGGUCAUAUAGGGAGUCUCCCAAGCCAUUCUUUUCAAUAGUAAUAGUCGUUUCUCAUUUCCAUCUUUUAGUAGUUGAUCAUUUCCAUCUUUCUCCGAUACUUUGACUUUCUUCUUACCUAUAACGCGCAACAAACAUGUAAAGAGAGUCUCGAGGGAGCAGUUAAACAAGGAGAUAUUCUAAGUGGGUCAGCUGUUCUUUGGAGUAGGAAGCUGGUUGGUUACUUUCUUCUAUCUAUUAGAUGUGUGCACUUGACUCAUAUUCCAAUUACUGUCCUGUCCACCAUAUUCCAAUUACUGUCUACGGCAGCUACUGGCCUGUAUGGAAAUUCCAUAGGAACAGCGCAAACAAGUAGAACAAGCUCCGGAACUAACAACAAAACAAGUGAGCGGCAGUAUCAGAGUUCCAGAAGCUUAACCGAUACGAUAAGUACUGAAGUCAAGCAAGGGAAAUCUUUCUAUACUUUAGUCUAGCCUUCCAUGUGCCGAGCCGAUAUUCAGGAUUAGGGAAAGCCAUAAGUGAAUCAGCAGAACAAGCAAGUCGUAGAGUGAAGAGCCCGCAGUAAGAAGAGGGUGUUUCAUCCAAAUAGAUACUCCGGAAUACCAAAUCAAAAGGAACUCGCUUACGCUUAGUGAGUUUACAGUGUUUUGUGACUUUCUGGGGUGCUGGUGCAUUAGCUUACUCUUAUCUUUGGGGCACGUAUUAUUUAGUUCAAUCCGUUUUGUGUGUUAUAAGAAGUUCCAGAGGUGUUAGCGACUUGGACCACCAACGGAUACUCGUGUGAGGGCAUCAAAGGCUUUCUUUUCUUCUGCCCCGACCUAAACAAUAAGUUAUUAUCAGGCUUAUUCAUCAAUUCCUUCUUCAGCGCGGUAUCUUCUAGCUUAGCUUAGUGAAGUCUACUUAUGCUCUUUUCUCUCAACUCCACUAGAUUAGGAUUCUUCCCUGAACGAAACUGGAAUUGCAGCUGACGACUUUCUCUACGACUACACUUGAAACCCUACGUCACUCGUCUACAAGAACUUUCUUUGCAACAGACUUGUUACAACAAGGAAAGCUCUUUAACCCUAUGUCACUUUACAACAAGGAAAGCUCUGUCAAUAAGGAAAUUCAAGUAAGCGUCAGACUCUAAGGGCAAUCAGGCUAUUAUCGGGCUGUCAAUAAGGCAAAUGGAAAGCUCUGUCAACUGUCAAUAAGGCAAUGACAAGUCCCUAUUUCGAAUUCAUUAGUUGUCUGCCAUUACCAAGUCCUGUUUUUUAGAGUUAUAAACGAGUCUUUCUUUUGGGCGGUAGGGCAGCUCUUCCACCACCACUCAAAUGAUAGGGAAAUUCUCAUAUUAACUCAGAAACUGUCCUUGCAAAGCUUUUUGGCCACUAAUCCUAUUCUUUGCGCUCUUCCUAUAGGUGGUGCACCAUCUUAAACAAGCUUAAGGCGCUAAGGUAAAGCCUAGUGAAAGGAAUAGAAUAGCUCCGCUGGUCGAUUAAGAAGAUGGGACAAUCAGUUGAGUGACUUUCUUCUAUAACAGGGGCACCUACAUUCAACAAGUCCCUUUUUCGGCUAACAUGAGCGGGACCGGACCUAUCUAUAGUCAAAGGUGAAAGUGUUAUAACUCACUGCCGCUCAACGAAAACGGAAAUUGUAUGCUCUCUUGCACCACUACUAGGUAAAGUAAGGUCAAACUUGAUAUAUCUCCUCGUAAAGUAAGGUCAAACUUGAUAUAUCUCCUCCCUAAGACUGGAAUUGACUAACAUUCUCCCAAACAAACACCUAGGUUAAUGCAAGUAGCAAGUCCGUAAUUGACAACUAUAAUGGUGCCCAUCUUGAAUCGUAUAUAAUGGUGCCCAUCUUGAAUAGUAUAUGUUGGUGCCCAUCUUGAAUAGUAUAUGUUGGUGCCCAUCUUGAAUAGUAUAUAAUGGUGUCCAUCUUUCUCUCUAAUUUACUACUAUUACUAUGUUGGUUCCUAUCUUGAAUACCGGUAUACCUUUUUGCUAAGUCAUUCUCUUGCUAUAUGAGGUCAGCUUUAGUGUAUGUAUUUGGAUGUUAAUAUUCCAUUCCGUAAUAUGAGUUAGGUACAAGUGUGCUAUUAGUUGUGGAUCAUUUAUGGCAACGAUGGGGUGUGGGCUCGGUGUUAUUAAUUUACGUAUAGUUCGGGUUCCAAUAAGUAAGUGAAAGGCGUGGGGGUCAAUAAGAACUUUGCUAAGGGUGCGUGCGCCUAUACCUAAUGUUUUGAGUGGGUUCAAUAAUAAAGUCGAUUUGGAUAACGGUUCCGAUAUGUGAUUCUAGUUCAGAGCGUGAUCGGGCAAGGGAUUAUUCAUCAUUUCAUAUAUAUAUAGGACUUCUAUUUUAGGGUUCGGUUCAAUCUUUGAUAACAAACAGUGCCUAUCGCUAUUGCCUCAUGUGCGCUUUAACCCUAUCUAUACUCUAACAGGCUGGCUGGCCCUAUCUAUUCUCCCGAUAGGUUAUGUCAAUAAAGUCAGGUACCCUCUUUCUAUUCAAUGCACCUCCUAUUCUUGUUGACAGCUUUACUUUGCUAGCUCGGCUUAGGUUGUUUCUCAAAGAGACUUUAGUUUGGCGCUGCUUGCUCUUCAGCUCGUACUUAAUUGGAAGUCAAUAAUUUCGGUUAGGCUAUGAGGAUCGAUAUAAUCUUAAAGGCGUACGGGAAUUACACUUAGAUGAAGGAAGGUAAAGGAAAGGAGUCUUUUGUAGGAUAACAUAAUCUAAAAGAUACUAUUAGUAGGGAACCAUUACUUCUCUUAUAAUCUUAUUAGUGGGGGUAGGGUACCAUUACUUCUCUUAUAAUCUAUUCGCUAUGGGGAACUAUUCUAAUCUAGACGGUCUGUCAAUAAUCAUAUAGUAUAGAUAAGACGGUCUGUCAAUAAGAAAUAGUAUAGAAAACGCAGCAUACAUUAUGUAUGUUAACCCACGGAGCGGUACCAUUACUUCUCUUAUAUGUGGAAAAUGGAUGACAAUGCUGGAUGGGACUUUCCGUAUAGUAAUAAUAUGGGGCAUUCUCCUAUUCGAGAAAUCUAUCCACACUACACCAACAGGCGGAGCAGCUCCUAGUGCUCUGGCAUUCUCAUCCUCCUGAGAUGGUCUUUCAUAUUAUUGCCCCGCCCUCCCUGUUUCCAAUUAUCAAGCUCCCUUUUUGAAGUCAUUUCUAUCUUGAACGCUUUCUGAACUACGGAUUAUUUUGGGAUUCUUCAGCGGAUUCUGUAACCGCUUUUUCAACCCCUCGGGAAGGACUGUAAGAGAGCAGCCGAUCAGGGCACUAGAUCGUUCUAAAGUCACCUAUGUGUGGAUCUGCUCCUAUAGUCAGUUUACAAUCAUAACCCAACACCCAAAGUCACCUAUGUGCAGAUCUCCUCUGCUCCUAUAGUCAGUUUACAAUCACAACCCAACACCCAGUGCAUUUCUUGCACUUUCGUCUUUGCUUGCCCACUUACCAAUUCCGUUCUUCUUCAAUACAAUAAGAAGAUAGACCAUAUUCCCAUAUAUUCAAUGCUUUCCUUGGCUUUUGAUCUCGUCUCGAGGUUUCCUAUCCUUUGGAUUUCGCGUCCAAGUACGAGCCGGAUUGUGGCAUUAGCCCCCCCUAUUGUGGAAUGGGUUCCAAAUCCGGAUCAAUUCGUUUUUCCUGCUCCAGCUGAGGCUUACUUUCGGGUAAGAGUCAUCAUAGUACCUCCAUCUAUCAAAAUGCCUCUGAAUACUUGAAUCAAUCUCUCUUAAGCACUCUGAGCUGAGGAGUAGCUUCACUCAAAACACCUACUUUACUCAGGAUGUAGAUACGCACGAGCGACUGCCCUCACACGCUCUAAACUAGGAAUCCAUACUUCUCUUUGAUUCUAAUGUCAUUUCUGGGCCUCUUCGCUAAACGGCUUGUUUCAUGUAAGUGUGCACCUGUUCUGUUCCAUAAGUCAGUAACGAAACACCCUUAUGAAGCGCAAAAUACUCUUAUGUAUGGCCAAACUCCAGAAAUGUGGUAAGCUGAUUCCUGGCAACGAGUAUCUUUCUGUUCGCCCUGUUCUACUUUCAAUCCUGAAUCGGACCGGACUAACUAACGCCGGUUGUUUGUUCUUUCGAGCUCACGUUGCUUGUUGAACUAACUAAGGCACUUUCAUUUCCAGUAGAUAAUUCGAAUAGGAAUCGAAUUGUUGUGCACC